rnacentral:lncRNA from 1 species
CCGCAGGUUGCUCCCGUCGGCCCUCUGUUUGGGGAGGGGGGCCUGGUCCACAACGACUAUACCUGCGACUCGGCCAGAGCAUCUUAUGCUGACGCCGGAGGGGAGCAUGCUUGUGCCUGAUGAUCCACUAUUGAGCGUGCAUAGGCGGUGCUUUGAAGAAGUGGGGCAUCCCGGAGGACGCGGAGGCCUUCGAGGACGCUCUUCUCUAGCGAUUCCUCGCCCUCUCCGGGGCCUCCUAUCCAAGGAGGAGACCAAGGCGGUUCACACCCUUUUCAGGAAUGUUCAGCUCUCCGAGGUCCACUGCUCAACCCCCAUGCCCUCCACAGCUUCUAGUUGGACACAUGCUUGACGUGUCGCGGCGGCCUUAUUUUGCCGUCUGCAAGUCCAUCAGAUGAUCCAUCUUCUACAUGAUUAUCUUCUCCAUUGCUUUGCGGGUCAACCUGUUGACUAGACUCAUUAGUCACAUCGUUCGACUCGAGUCGAGCCAAGUCACGAGUUACUCACUUAGCUCGCCAGUUUCGAGUUACAAUUCCAGCCGUAGCAGAUGACAUGAUAGGUUGGCAAGUACCAUGUGCUCUAGUCAUCUUGCAUCGAGCGGUUUCUCGUACAAUUUCCACAAGCUUGUAUUGCUGACGCAUUUGCAAAGACUGGGUGUUAGUAUUGUAUCCCGUGAUUGUUUCCUGUUGAUAUUUCCCUCCGCAGCUGAUCAGGGUCUUCACUUCCUCAUCUAUCCGUUGUAAGUUUGAGCUGGUUCUCUAAUAGUAACUUCUGGCCCAUAGUUGCUGGAAUGUGAUCUGAGGUGUUGACAUGAGGGUUCUAUAAAUUGUGUAGGGAAAGUAGCUCACACUGGAAGUAGCAUGUAUGUGAAGCCUCUAAAGUGAGGCCAUGCCAUUAUUAUUUUCCAAAUAGCAUGAUUUGUAAAGUGUUGUCGAGCAAUGCACUCGCGGGACGAACAUGUGAAUGUAGUUUUGUGAUAGAGUUCAAUUCCCGGACUUCGACUUCUGGGAGGUUGGUAAGCAUACGCAGGACAAACACAGUUUUAAUGUUGAUAUUGUUUCCUUUUCACCCUCAAAAUCUCCAGCCUGCAGGCUUUGCGUGAUGAUCUCCUUUAGGAUCUUCUGACUUCUGAGGAUAUUCUAGGCUUUUCUUGAUGUCUGAUGCCAACUGGUCUGCUACUCCUGUACCCCUGUUUAGUUUAUUUUUGUAGACGAACUGUGGGCAUUUGCUUAGACAUGGUGAGCUAGUGAAGCGCUACAAUAAAUAAUUCGCUGAAUCAACUAUGACUUGAACUCUUUGAUGCAUAUGCUUCAGUAAUAGUAAUUCCUUAAUUCUGACUGUUCCAAGCAGGUUUUCCGUUAGAGUUGCAAUGUUGGUAUUCUUACUCCCAUAUAAUAAAAUUCCAAAUCCAGGAACCCUGGCACUUCUGUUGUCAUUUACUCCGAUAUAAUAAUAUCUGCAAGAAUAAGCAAACAUUUACAACAGAGUUGAUAUGUCCUUAGUCCUUAUCCAUGUUCAAGAGUGCAUGAUCAAUGACUGUCUAAUGGAUCCUGUGAAACAAUUCAGAUAACAUAUCUGUUUGGCAUUACUGAUUGUGGAUUAUUGAUAUUCUCAAAUCCUAUUAAAAUGAAGAAAAUGAGUCCGGCAAUAGCACUGGUUCUGUUAAUGUUUCAUCGCAGUUAACAGGGAAGAGUAUCAUUUCCAUAUAAUUGAAGUGAAGUGUUAUUCCUGACACAAAGGCACAAAGCAACAGUUAAUAUCCCUGUGUUGCCUAUUUGUUAGCAUAGAUAUAUUAUUAUGGGUCUCUUGCCUAAUACUGUUGAUAGCCUUCACUGUUUUCUGAUCAGGAUCAUCUUAUACAGAUGAAAAGUAUUAUCCGUUUUCAAUUAUUUCUUAUCCAUGUUCAGUUUUGGUUCCUGUUGUCAUUUGUUAUUUUAAUAAAUUAUUGCUUCUUUACGUGCUACAAGUACUGUGCAGUUAUUGGUGUGUCAUGUAUUAAAUAUGUUAAUAUUAUACUUUUGUUUCAGGCUCUUUAUUAUUGUAUUCCAUUUCGGGAGCAGUUGCUGGAAUAUUACGCAAAUUACAGGAAUCCAGGAGAUGCUGAGGAAAAUUUGUUGACCUGCUUGGCAGAUCUUUUUGCGCAGGUGAAAAUACAAAUACUGUUAUUAGCUGAUACACUGCUACAUUUGCUAGGUUGUUGCUCUAAAAAAUCAAUUAGGGUACCCCACUCCAUCACUACUAGUCAGUGCACGCAUGGAUUGCAUGCCAUCAUAAAAUGUGAAGAUGAUAAUAUUGAAGAUUAUUGGUUUUUUACUUCAAAUAUAUGCUUACCAAUAGAUUGAUUUGUUUCUCAUACACGGUUCAAAUCGUUCUGUCAUCAAGUCAUGAAGAGAAUGGGAGUCAGGUUUUUAGUUUUAUUUGGUGAUUGUUAGGGGGGGGGGGGGGGGUAUGGCAAGCAAAUAGAAUUCUGAUAGCAAUUAAUGGAUAGCAGAACCAACUUAAUGACUGAGCUAUCUGAUUCGAUUAAUCAGAUGAUUAUAAAGUGUGGUUGUGGGCAGGGGUAGCAAAGACUGAAGAAUCAACUCAUGUCUUUGUAUGGUCUGGGACCCACAUAAUGACAAUCUAUAUUUCUUGGUGAUUGAUAGGUUACGACUAUUUUGCUCAAAAGAAUAAAGUGGUAGCAGCAAUUCAUUCUAGAUUUUUUUUCAAAAAAUCAAAUAUGAUACUUUUGUAUGUGGCAGUAUUUUAUAACAAGUGAGAGAAGCAGGCAGUAGUUAAAGUGAUACUUUUGAGACCAUUUCAAUAUCUAAAACGGCCUGUAUUGAGUGACGGAGGAAGUACUAAGAGCACUAAUAAGUAAUAAAAUAACAUUGUUUCUUGACAACUCGUUCCUAUUUGGACCGAACUUUUUCCUCACUAUAUGACAGUUUUUGUGUGCUUGCGCAUGUAUGUGUUUGCUUUGGGGAAGAGUACUUGAACCUGAGAAAACUACUUCCUCCGUCCCAAAAUAAGUGACUAAAAAAUGACUCAACUUUGUACUAUAGUACAAAGUUGAGUCAUUUUUGAGUCACUUAUUCUUAUUUUGGGACGGAGGUAGUAUAUUAUAGAAUAUAAAUGGUGAUUUCUCAUUAUUUACACUUUCAGGGCGUUGAUUGGACACAUUAGUCAUAGAUGCUAGAUAAUACCAUAGUUAAUUUGGCUUGUCUCAAUUCUUAGUUUUGUACAGUGCUUGCUGACAAUUUUAAUAAUUGUUUUAUCUAGCUGUCUAACUCAUAAAAAUAUGACUUCUAAGAUUAACUCACUUGCAACCAAGGCAAGCCAGCAGACAUGUUAUUAGUUUCUAGUAGCUACCGACUCUCCAUUUUUAUGCUUUCAUGGGCAUGAAGUUAUUUGGUUUGCACAUGUUACCUAAAACUUCUGCACAUUUUUGUUCGUCUAGUAACAAUGGUUGCUGAUAACUUGCAGAUAAGCCUAUCGAAGAAAAAAACUGGUGUUAUUUCUCCAAAACGUUUUGUCCAUAGAGUGAGGAAACAGAAUGAAUCAUUUCGUGGUUCUAUGCACCAGGUAACUUGCAGAUAGCUUAUAAAGCUUGUUAAUGCUCAGGUAUUUAUUUGGUAACUAGAUUAGGGGCGCGGCUUGCCGCGCGCUACGUGUCAUUCACAUAAUCAUUCACCAGGCAAACCAGUACGUAUAUCAACAGUGGAAUACAUUUUUGGAUACAAAGGAGAGAUGAAAACCAGAGCUUGACUAAUGGAAAAACAGAAAUAUAUCAACAGAUGAAAUAACACCACAGCACCAAACCGCAUGGUACCAUCAGUUUCCAACAAUUCGGUUCUAAGCAAAAUACAAAAUUUGAAAAACCAAGGCCAAGAAAUACAAAGUUCAAAUGAAUCGUGCCCCACAGAAUUAUUUUUCCCUUUGAUUAGGGUGUAAUCCAUUUGCUUCUCCCCAGUGGCCUUUGUGGACAAAUGGCGCCACUGUCAUGGUAAACAAUGUUAGCAUAUGGCCAAUAUCACUGCAAAUCAAAUAAUUCAACCAAGCUACAUAUCAAGGAAGUAGUACAUUUAUAUAUGUAUAUACUUACAAAAGGUAAUCUUUAUACAGAUAACAAUAAGAGAAUACAAUACAAACCAAACCAUUAUAAGAUCACCUUGUUUAUUUGUAACCAAGUUAUUAUGAUAAUCAAUGUGGCAUAAUCUGGAAAUAAUGUAACUUACUAUAACUACAUUGGGAAGGGUAAGAUAUAGGAUAAGUGAUAAUAUUGCACUGUCACAUUUAUAGAUUUCACAUUAGCAUAGACCAGUGUUAUAGUGAUGGUAGUACUCCCUGCGUUUCAAAAUAAUUAAAGUUCUAGUCACAGUGUUAUAGCGACGGGGGCAGAGAGACGGGCGGUAGUGGCAACUGAAGGAAUGUGAAGCCAGUCAAGCGAGUAAUCUGGCUAAUAGAAAAGAGUUUGUCAUGUGGGGUCAGCCCUAUAGGCGACGACCCACGCGGGCUGGACCUGCACCAGCCUAAGCUAUGACAUAUUGUAAUUACAGAAGUUGUGUUAGAUUAGGAGUCUGGGCUAGUUGAAAAGGUUUAGUCCCAUAGAAGGUUACCCUGCCAACUCCCAAUUAGAGUAGGAGUCUAGUCUUGUAAUCAGGCUUUAUAUAGCUAGCUUUGGGGAUCAAUAAAGUUAAGCAGAAAACGAUCUAAUCUCUCACCCCUUGCUCCUGCGCUUCGGCGCCUCUCCUCACCCCUUCUCCAGCAAUAGGCCGGCACGGGACUCGCCCUCGGCCUCCUGUAUUCCACGACUACAACCUCCGUUCCAACCCACCAACCCGUGACAACUUGGUAUCAGAUUCUUCGUCGAUCCAGGCGGCAAUGUCUCCGCCGCCUCCACCGCCUCCGCAGCCGGCGCCCUUGCCGCAAACCUAGAAGACCUCGCGCUCAAACAACACGAGGAUCAUGAGGCCGUGGUAGCCACGCUGAACGGCCUCUCUGAGGAGAACCACACCGCGCGGACGGAGCGUGUAGAGGACCGCGCUACCCUCAAAUCAAUCGCUGACACACUCAAGGAGCUCUAGGGACAGUUCGCCGAUGCCUCCCAGCAGCAGUGCGCGCAGAAUCUGGCCAUCCUCCGGCUUGAAGGGAAGGGCACGACCCAACUAGGCGGCGUCGGCCUCCUGCGGCCACCCGAGCCGUCCCAUGCCGCAGCCCCGGCCGUCAUGACCGAACCACCAGAUCGGGCGCUGCGCCUCUACAAGAUCGACUUCCCCCUCUAUGACGGGUCCAGCGAUCCACGGCCCUGGUUGACACGCUGCAACCUGUUCUUCUUGGGCCAACGGACGCCGGAGGCCGAUAAAACUUGGCUCGCCUCCUACCACCUCACCUAUGUCGCCGCAUUAUGGUAUGGCCGCCUUGAGAAAAAGCUGGGCCCGUGGCCGUCUUGGAUUGAGUUUCAAAAGCUGAUCGCCAACCACUUCGGUCCGCCAACACGCGUCAACCCCUUCGGCGAGCUUAUCUCCACCCGCCGCUCCGGCACCGUGGCAGAAUAUUCCAAGCGCUUCCUAGAGAAUCUCUCUCGGUUGCGCCCCAUUGCCGUCGAUGAUGAGAGGGAUAUCUUCACCAACAACUUGGGUGAGCCCAUGAAAACUCAGGUCGAGAUGCUGAAACCAGCGACUUAGGACGCGGCCAUGGACUUAGCAAUCUCCUUUGAGCACCUCAAUACUUUCACCAGCGCCGCAGCCCCCGCUGUACGGACCAGCAGUCCACCCGGGCCCAUGGGCGCACCUAAUCCGGCCUUACCAGACCCCUCUAGCCCCUCGCCCGCACUCGUCUUCAAAAGACUCACGCCGGCCGAGAUGGAUGAACGGCGCGCUAAGGGUCCGUGCUUCAAUUGUGACGAGAAGUUUGCACGGGGCCAUCGCUGCAAACGUCUGUUCUACAUAUAGUCCGCCGACGCCGACGACGAGCAGUUUGAGGAUUUCCAGGAGGCACAAAUCUCCCUCUUGGCUGUCACCGGCAUUCCCACCAGCGACACAAUGCAGGUUACUCUCCGCAUCGGGGACCAUGACCUGGUAGCCUUGCUUGAUUCGGGCAGCACUCGUAACUUCAUCAACGAAGAGCUGGCCACCGUCGUCGGGCUUCCUUUCUCCUCCAAUCAGCGCCUGGGAGUCACGGUCGCUAAUGGCGAUAAGGUGACCUGCCGGGGACUCCUGCAGCAAGCUGCGAUCACCAUUGACAAGGAGCGUUUCGUGGUGGAUCUGCAUGCCAUUCAAUUGGGCGGGUUCGACAUUGUCCUUGGCACACGAUUUCUCAAAACUCUUGGGCCAAUUCUCUGGGACUUCACGACGCAGUGGAUGUUGUUUUGGCACUCGGAUCACCGGGUGGAGUGGUCGGGACUUGGUUCCAUCGGAAGGCCCGCCAACCUACAUGCGUGCGAAGGCAAGGAUCUCCUGGACAGCCUGCUGGCCACAUUCGUCGACAUUUUUGGGGACCCUCAGGGUCUGCCACCGCAGCGUGCCCAUGACCAUCAUAUCCAUCUUCUUCCUGGGACACCGCCGGUUGCUGUCCGCCCCUACCGCUACCCAACUAUUUAGAAGGACGAACUAGAGCACCAAUGUUCACAAAUGCUGGUUCGUGGUUUGAUGCGUCCUAGCUCUUCGGCAUUUUCCUCCCCAGUUCUACUCGUCCGGAAGCAUGACGGGACUUGGCGUUUCUGUAUCGACUACCGUGGUCUCAACCUUGUCACCAUCAAGGACAAGUUUCCUAUUCCCGUUGUCGAUGAACUUCUGGAUGAGCUGAAGGGCGCCCGUUUUUUCACCAAACUGGAUCUCCGGUCCGGUUACCACCAAGUUCGGAUGGCCCCUGAGGAUAUCCACAAGACGGCGUUCCGCACACAUGAGGGCCUUUUUGAGUUUGUGGUGAUGGCUUUUGGGCUGACCAAUGCCCCAGCAACGUUCCAAGCACUCAUGAACGACGUCCUUCGUCCCUAUCUUCGCCGGUUUGUGCUUGUGUUCUUCGAUGAUAUCUUGAUCUAUAGCUCGUCCUGGUCGGAUCACCUUCAUCAUGUCAAGCUCGUCUUGGAGGCUAUGGGCGCACAUCAACUGUUUCUCAAGCGCUCCAAGUGUUCUUUUGGGGAGGAAACCAUGGCUUAUCUAGGACAUGUCAUCUCCACUGCAGGAGUCACCAUGGACAGAGACAAGGUUCUCGCCGUUAUGGAUUGGCCGGUUCCACGCAGUGUUUGGGCGGUGCGCGGUUUCUUAGGUCUGGCGGGCUACUACCGCAAGUUCAUCCGAGAUUUUGGCAUCAUUGCAGCUCCCCUCACUCACUCCUCAAAAAAGACGGAUUUCUUUGGACGCCUGCAGCAACUACCGCCUUUGAGGCUCUCAAGACAGCUCUUACCACUGCCUCUGUGCUUCAGCUGCCGUAUUUUGCCGUCUCUUCAUUGUGGAGUCUGAUGCCUCUGGAUCGGGUUUCGGGGCAGUCCUGCAUCAAGAUGGAGGGCCCAUUGCCUAUUUCAGCAAAACCAUCGCUCCGCGUCAUGCUUCACUCGCCACGUACGAGCGGGAACUCAUUGGUCUGGUCCAUGCUGUGCGCCACUGGCGGCCCUAUCUGUGGGGACGUGCGUUCAUCGUCAAAACUGACCGCUACAGCCUGAAGUUUUUACUGGACCAACGCCUCGCUACCAUUCCGCAGCAUCAUUGGGUGGGCAAGCUGUUGGGGUUCGACUUCACGGUGGAAUAUAAACCAGGUCGUCAAAACAUCGUCACCGACGCUCUUUCUCGACGUGAUGCUCUUGCUGGCCCGGCACUUGCCAUAUCCGGGCCUGCUUUUGAUAUAUUUGAAGCUCUUCGUCAGGCUGCUCAAACGGAACCCGCGCUCGUCGCAUUACGGGAACAACUCCAAUCUGGUGAGUUGGGCCAGCCCUGGGCUCUCGUGGACGGUAUUGUCACCAUUCAGCAGCGGGCUUAUGUGCCACCCGCGUCGCCGCUGGUUGGGGAAGUCUUGCUGCAGCCCACGAUGCAGGACAUGAAGGUAUCCAGAAGUCGCUUUAUCGUCUUCGUCGGGAUUUCCAUCUACCGCAAGCAAGGGCAGCACUUCAGCAGUAUAUUCGUGCUUGCCAAGUUUGUCAACGCAACAAGACGGAGCAGCUUCAUCCAGCCAGCUUGUUGCAGCCCUUGACAGUUCCAUCUCGUGUCUGGGAAGACAUCUCCAUGGAUUUCAUUGAGGCACUUCCAAAGGUGGGCGGCAAGAGUGUGAUCCUGACCGUCGUGGACCGUUUCUUCAAGUAUGCACAUUUCAUACCCUUGGCGCAUCCGUAUACUGCUGAGUCUGUCGCUACGUCCUUCUUUUCUAACAUUGUCCGACUUCAUGGGUUUCCAACAUCCAUCGUUUCGGACCGGGAUGUGGUUUUUUACUUCAGGCUUUUGGAAGGCUCUAUUUGCCGCCGCCUGGACGCACUUGCACAUGAGUUCGGCCUUUCAUCCACAGUCUGAUGGACAAUCGGAGGUCGUGAAUCGAGUCAUCACUAUGUACUUGCGUUGCAUCACCGGGGAUCUUCCAAGGCAGUGGCUGCAAUGGUUACCUUGGGCGGAGUACUGCUACAACACUUCGUACCAUUCAGCAUUGAAGGAUACUCCUUUCAGGGUGGUUUAUGGUCGGGAUCCCCCCUCGCUCCGGGACUAUACGCCGGGCGAAAUUCGCAAUCAGGCAGUCGAACGGCAGCUCCUCGACUGUGAUCAAUACCUACCCGACAUCCGUGAGCGUCUCCUUCAGGCAGCACAGCAGUAGAAGCAUUACUAUGAUGAUAAGCAUCAGGCUCUUUCUUUUGAUAUUGGCGAGUGGGUUUGGCUACGUCUUCAGCACCGGCCGGCUGCAUUCCUUGGAGUGGGCGCUAAAGGGAAGUUGGCUCCCAAAUUCUACGGGCCUUUCAAAGUCCUCGCUAAGAUUGAUACGGUUGCUUACCGUUUGGAGCUACCCCCACGUGCCCGCAUUCACAAUGUCUUCCAUGUCGGGGUCCUGAAGAAAUACCAUGGUGAGCCACCUGAAGUUCCACCGAUGCUUCCCCCGCUGUUUCAAGGUCGAGUGCAUCCAACUCCUAUCAAGGCAUUGCGUGCUCGUAUUGCUCGCGGCGUUCAACAAGUGCUCAUUCAAUGGGAGGGCCAGCCAGCGUCUGCUGCAUCAUGGGAGGAUGUCCCUACCUUCCGUGAUCGUUAUCCAGGUUUCCCUCGAGCUGUUUCAGAAUGGAGGGGGAGAUGUCAUGUGGGGUCAGCCCUAUAGGCGACGCCCACGCGGGCUGGGCCUGCACCAGCCUAAGCUAUGGCAUAUUGUAAUUACAGAAGUUGUGUUAGAUUAGGAGUCUGGGCUAGUUGGAAAGGUUUAGUCCCGUAGAAGGUUACCCUGCCAACUCCCAAUUAGAGUAGGAGUCUAGUCUUGUAAUCAGGCUUUAUAUAGCCAGCUUUGGGGAUCAAUAAAGUUUAAGCAGAAAACGAUCUAAUCUCUCACCCCUUGCUCCUGCGCCUCGGCGCCUCUCCUCACCCCCUUCUCCAGCGAUAGGCCGGCGAGGGACUCGCCCUCGGCCUCCUGUCUUCCACGACUACAACCUCCGUUCCAACCCACCAGCCCGUGACAGAGUUGCAUGGUAAGCCGAGGAACGGGAGCAACAUGAAAAGAUGAAGUGCUAAGGGUGGCAUGACUAGCAAUAGGAAGAGAAGUACCAUAUGCAGCAAGAACAUGAAUAAGAUAAUCUAGAACUCAAAUGGACGACAGCAGAAGAAUCAGGAGUCGUAUGGAAAGAUGCUCCAGAAUCAACAAUCCAUGGGGAUGUACCUAAUGAUUGACUCAAUGUGGCCAUUGGAGGAUGCGUGGUAUGGAGAAUCCAGAGAAUUUGAUCCAAGAUCGAAAAUGAGAUGUAAUUGAUCGUGAGGAAACACUAAGCCCCAAUACAAUGUGAGGAAAUAUGUAACUUGUAUUUCCAUGAGGCCGUAGGCCAAUAUAUAUGCACUACACGUGCGGUAAAUAUGCAGAAAACCCCUUAUACAAAUAUACGAUGACUAUAUUACAUGGCUAAGUAUAUACAACUCUUAAGAUUGACAUAAAAGAGUAAUUAUUCCAUAAGUAACUCCUCUUUGCUGUAUGUAGGAUGCCCAUGAAUUUUUGAAUUUCUUGUUGAAUGAGAUUGUCGAUAUUCUGGAAAAAGAGUUUAGUACUGUGAAUGAUUCUCCUGAAACUACAUCCCCUGGAAGGGUGCCAAAUGGGGAAGUUUAUCAUUUAGCCAAUGAAUUUCGAAGGGAGCCGCUGGUUACAUGGGUCCACAAGAAUUUCCAGGUGACUAGUCGCUAAAAUGCAAAAAAUAUGUGUUUUCUUCCAAGAAUUUUGUGCAUAAUCACCAUUUCCAUUUGCAGGGUAUUUUGACCAAUGAAACAAAGUGCCUGAUGUGUGAGACUGUCACUGCAAAGGAUGAGACUUUUUUAGAUUUGAGCAUCGACAUUGAACAGAAUAGUUCACUGACAAGCUGCCUGAAGAGUUUCUUUUCCACUGAAAUUUUAAAUGCCGAGGACAAGUUUUUCUGUGACAACUGCUGCAGGUAACAAUGUUACUAUGUCAUUUUGAUCCUUAAUGUUCUGUCUCUCGGAGCAACAAUAGAGGCUUUACGCAUUAAAUUGCUAACAAGAGUUUAAAUUGUUAUGGUGCUACUUAUGGAAUGGAUCAACUUGCCAAGUUAAAUCUUGGCUAUAGAAAAAUACAUUCAAACAACUAUUCUUGAAGAGGACCUUGUAGAUCCAUUUCCUCAUUUUUUUUCUUGACGUUGCUGCUGUCUUGAACUCGAUUGCGGGCAAGGUUAACAAUCUUAAUUUGUUAUGUUUUCUGCAAGUUUUUGUUUUUUGCUCCUUGUAGAUAUUGCAUGAUUGUUUGCAUGUACAGUAUGAUCUAUAUAUUUGGUUAAAAUGAUUGCUAAGUAGUACCUCAGAUGUCUGUUUGUUCUGUGCGUUCUGCUCACUAGGUUGUCAACCUUGGUCCUCCUAGACCGAAAAAAAUGCGUUGAGAAUUAGCAUACGUGGAAAGACCCUUUGUGCUGCUUGAUUUCCUUUUAACACUGAAAUUGUGGUGCACUUUUCAGUUUGCAAGAAGCACAGAAGAGAAUGAAGAUAAAGAAGGCGCCACAGAUAUUGGUAAUCCACUUAAAGCGCUUCAAGUUCAUUGAACAGCUGAGUCAGCACAAGAAACUGUCAUACCGAGUGGUAUACCCCAUGGAGCUGAAGCUGAGCAGUGCCUCUGAUGAUGUAGAUUGCGCAUACUCACUCUUUGCUGUGGUAGUCCACCUUGGGAGCGGCGCCAACCAAGGACACUAUGUAAGCCAAAUUAAAAGCGGCGACCACUGGCUGUCAUUUGACGAUGACAGUGUCGACAGGAUUCAGGAGUCCACCCUGCAAACUUUCUAUGGUUCUUCUCGCGAAUAUUCUGGCAACACCGAUCAUGGCUACAUCUUGUUCUAUGAGAGCAUUUCAAAGAGCUAGGAAUUUUCUAGUCUAGGAUUAGUGCUAGUGAUGAAAUAAUAUGUACAGUUUACAGGAUGGGAACCUGAUACCUUUUCGUUUUUAAAUUUUCCUCAGUGCAAUAGCAUAGACUUCGUUAAAUUAAAGCUGGACUAAAGUUUUUCUGGUAACAGAGACCAAACGCGUAUUCAGAUUCGUACGGAGCUGCUCUGUAUGGCGAUUUGGCUCCUGUGUCCAUAUUCUCUGGCAAUCUUGUCGGCCGUACUUUACAUAUACAGUGCUAUCUAGAGGGAGAAAUCGUACGGUCGCCCCCAUCAUGGACGGCUUUUCUGAAUAGGGCAGUUAUUGCUGUGAAAAUAUCUGGUAGUUCAGCGCAUGAGAUGAUACAGGCUUUUGAGAUCCAACGCUUCAUGGCACCUACGUGUCAUGAAUUAUCUUCAGAGCAUCUUGAACAGCUGCCCCUACGUGUCAUGAAUAAUCCCUCCCUAUAUAUAUAUAUAUAUAUAUAUAUCUCUUAAUAAUAAAGCAAAUACGGUUUUUGGUCGUCCGUCUUAAAAAUUACUCUAAAGUUUACAUAAAUUACCCACCAUGCCACCGAUAAGUACUAGAAAACGUUUCAUAAAGUAAAAAAUCUUGAACUGGGCCGGUCCAUGCAAAAACGUCCUAUAUUACGCUAUGCACGCUAGGAGAAUAUCCAACACACCGUAUGGGCCGGCCCAUGCACAGGCGCCUGCUUUUAGUUCCAUUUAUUUAUAUAUUUUCAGUUCUUUUUUUUUACUUUAAAUAAUUUAGAACUUCAAAUAAUCUUUAAAAUUUUAAUAAACUGAAAAUUAUAAAUCAACACAUUUCAAAAAUUAAAAUGUUUGUGACUUCAAAAACUGCUCGAAGUUUUGUAAAAAAUACAUGCAUAUACAAUAAAAUGUUUGCAAUUUUAGAAAAAUAUUUGUACAAUAAGAAAAGUCCAUGAUCUCAAAUAUAAUUCCAUGUAUUAAAAAUUAUUAAAGGCAUUUAACAAAAUGCUUUCUAAUUCAAAAUAUGUCAAUGCAUUUAAAAAAUGUCCUAAUAUUUUAAAAAUAGCUAAUGCCUGUUUUGAUAGUUUCUUUUUUUUAUUUAAAAUUUUUCGUUCCAUUUUUGUUUAUUUAUAAUUUAAAUAAUUUAGAAUUACAAAAACUUUUCCAUACUAAAAAUUAGGAAUUUUGAAUUAAAAUGCUGACGAAUUUUUAUUUUGAAUUAAAAAUAGGAUUCAAAAAAAGCACCGGAUUUUUAUAAUUUUUUUCGCAAAAUCCAAAACAAUGUCCAUGAAUUUAAUAAAUAUAUUAGUGAUUUAUAAAAAUGUUUAUUUAUUCAGAAAACUUCAUGCAUUUCAAAAAAUGUUUGUGAAUUUAAAAUAAAAUCCUCCAACAUCAAAAAUUAUGUUCGUAUUAUCUUGAAUUGGUUGCGAAUUCAAAAGAAAAUAUUUAAACCCGUUCGAAAUAUAAAAGAUAUUCACGAUUUUUAGUAAAUGUUUGUAAAUUGUAAAAAAUGUUCUCAAUUUUAAAAUUGUUUCCAUAUUUGUAAAAUUAUUCACGAAAGGUCUAAUGUAUGUAGUUAAACAUUAAUGCUUCUAAGUCUAUGUGACAAUAUACCUGUGUGAAUUUUGAAGAAUUAACUGUUGGAUGCAUCGGAUUACUAUUGUAUGUUUUCAAAAAAAAAUCUUGAAAUUCAGAAUAAAUCUUUGAGUUACCAAGAUUUUUGAAAAUGUAAAGAUUGCUUCAACUUGUGAAUAAAUUUAAAAGAAGAAACAUUUUUCUUGCAUUUGUGUAUAAAAUUUCUAAAUCAAGCGAUGAUAUGUGAAUAUAAUGUGUUCAUCAUCAUUGGAGAUUAUGUUCUUUUUCUUCCGUGGCAACGCACGGGCCAUUUUGCUAGUAUAUAUAUAUAUAUACAAAUAAAGCACCUAUUGCUUCUGUGGUACGUCAUUAAAAUUGCCUUCAAAAUUGUCUAAUAUUACCCACCAAUGCCACCUAUAAGUUAUAAAAAACGUUUUGCAGGGAAUUCUUGCAUGGGCCUCCCAAGCAUAGGGAUCAACUAUACUACGCUCAGCUUGCUGGAAAAUAAACAGCACGCUCAUUUGGGCCAGCCCAUGGGCGGGGACCUGUUUUUUUAGUUUUUUUAAUUAUCAUUUAUCUGUUCCUUUUUAUUUUUUAUAAUUCUAAUAAGCAAAAAAAUUUGAAAUUCAAAAAUUAUAUUUACAUAAAUGUUUAAUAAAACAUUAAAUGUUUGAGAAUUCAAAAAUUAUUCAGGAUUUUUGUAAAAAUGUUUGCAUAUUAAAAACAUCGUAAUUUUGGAGAAAACAUUCGUGAAUCAAAAAAGUCCAUCAUUUUGAGCAAUUUCUUUAAUGCAAUUAAAAAAUGUUUGAUAAUUCAAAAAAUGAAUUAUUCGCCAAUUCACAAGAAAAUACUUGAAAGUAGUUCGUAAUAUAAAAUAUUGUUUGGAAUUUUAAAAAAAUGUUUAUAAAUAGAAAAAAAGUUGUCAAUUCUAAAAUGUUUCCAAAUUUGUAAGAAUGUUUACAAAUGAUCGAAUGUAUGCAGUUCAACAGUAAUGCUUCUGAGUCUUUCAUACUAUAUACGUGAUUGGAUUUUGAAGAAUUAAUUGUUGGGAUGGAUCGGAAUAUUAUAGUAUAUUUUUAAAAAUGUUUCUUGAAAUUCAGAAUAAUUCUUUAAGUUACCAUGUUUUUUGACAAUCAUGAUAUUUUUUAAAAAAUAUAAACAUUGUUUCAACUUGUGAAUUGUGAAUAAAAUUGAAAGAAGAAAUAUUUUCUUGCAUUUGUGAACAAAAUUUCAAAAUCAUGCGAUGAGAUUUGAACAUGAUGUGGUCAUCGUCAUUGAAGAUGGUGGUUUUUUCUUCCGUUGAAACGCAUGGACCCUUUUGCUAGUAUUAAUUACAUAUUGAACUACUGUCCUAAAUUAGGACAACGGCUAAAAAAUUGACGUUUAGACAUUUUACCCAAAAUCCUUUCUCCCACGUUGUCCUAUAUUUUUUUCCAGAAAAAUCAGAGAGCUUUAUUCAUAUAAAUGCAUUCUUGGAACAAUCAGCCAGAGGCCGAACACCAAGAAGGUAGGAGUUUCAUCUAGCUUGUUGUCGGUCACAUUCAGUGUACAAGCACAUAGAUGCACCGGAAGGUUUGCCGACGUGUUUACAUGCUGAAUAAUAAAAGAGGUAAAAAGAUCAUUAAGCUCUCCUAUCUCUACUAGUAAAGGAGCUAUAAUUAAACGAGAAUUGUGGCGAGUGUUCGAGAGUGUCACCAAAUCCAUGCAAUCAACUUCCAUAAUCGCAUGUGAGAACCCCCGAAGAGAAGCAAAACGAACGCCAUCUCGCAAAGAAAGACCCUCCAUGAUCAAGGGGUCCGAGAUCCCCAUGUAUGGCUUGCACCAUGCACCUAGGAGGGCCGAGGAGGAGCGAGCAACUCCUCUGACACCCCCUGCCAUCUACCAAAUUGAGGGCUCCAUCUGUGGUGAUUUGUAUAAAACCAUCGACAGGCGGCCGCUACCCAAAGCUCGACAAUACCAGCGCGUCCUUGCGAGGUUGAUGAAGGAGCGCAAUAGCCUCCUUUGUAUCUCUGAUCGUCGUUGUAGGAUCUGUCCCUUCUUCACCAUGCUUGAUGUGAUUCCUGGAAUGCCAAAUAGACCGCAUAAUGGUAGUGAUCUUAGCGCGAUCAUCAUCAGUAAAUAUGGGAUGGCAAAUGAUAUCCCGCGCCCAUGAUUCCGGAUGAAGACGAGGAAGACGAAGUCCAAACCAUGCACAUGCCUCGUCCCAGAAACGCUGGGCAUGUGAGCAAUGGAUUAGUGCAUGUUUCAGAUCCUCAUCCAUAGCUAGACAUACUUUGCAUCGACGAAUCUUUGCAGUAUGUCGAUAAUUGAGAGUGGUCUCAUCUGGAAGGAUCCCGUGAACAACUCUCCACCAGAAAACUCUCACUUUUGGAAUGACAUUCAAUUUCCACAAGGUUGUCCACAACUAUUGAUCAUACUUUGAGAUUCCGGUAGUCGUCCCUUCCUGUAGAGCCAAUCGCUCAUUCUGAGUCACAAGAGCAUGGUACACCGUCUUCACAGUGUAGUUUCCAUAUUUUUAGAAUGCCUAAGCACGGAAAUUGUUGCCUCCUCCCUGUCGAAUAGGAAUAUUAAGAAUGGCCUCGGCAUCCGAAGCAAUAAAAUUACCUCUGACCACAUCCUAUCUCCGAAACCAAUUGGUUGUACCGAUAAGAUCCGUCACCCGCUCGCUGUUGGUGUUGGGUGGCCUAGAGAGAUGCGACACCCUUGAUUUGAUCGUACACUAAUCAUACACGCAAAUGCGUACGACCAAGCUCAAGGACUCACGAGAAGAUAUCACAACACAACUCUAGACACAAAUAAAACAUACAAGCUUCAUAUUACAAGCCAGGGACCUCGAUGGCUAGAAUACAGAAGCUCGAUAAACACACGAGUCAGCGGAAGCAACAAAUAUCCGAGUACAGACAUUAAACAUGGGGGUGCCUUAGAGAAGGCUAGCACAAAAGAUACAACGAUCGAACGAGGAGAGGCCUCGUGCCUGGGAGCCUCCUAACUACUCCCGGUCUUCAGCGGCCUCCACGUAGUAGUAGGCACCGUCGGGGUAGCAGUUGUCGUUGGCGGGAUACUCCAUCUCCUGGGCUCCAUCAUCUGGCCGCAACAAUGGAUCAAGGGGACAAAGGGGGAGCAAAGCAACGGUGAUUACUCAUCCAAAGUACUUAGAAGACUGACAUCAGAACUAUGCUAAGAAUGCAUCAGUAUCAAAGAAAGGGUUUAUAUACGGACUGACUGCAUCAAUGCAAGAAUAAAGAGAGAAGGCCUAGUCCUAUCGAAGACUAGCAUCUUGAGGGGUCUUGCAGCAAUAGACGAGAGCAGAACAGGUAACACAAUUAAUAGUCAUAUUGUUGCAGCAAUAAUUAAUAUUAGGUCAGGCCCAGAGAUUCUCGCUUGACUCCCUGCGAGGAAGCAAUCCUGGAGCAACUAUUCCAGUUAAGUAACAAUUGUAGUUGUAUAGGAUCAGGGCACAAGUCCAAGCGUCCUAUAACCGUGGACACAACUAUGUGAAUAGUUAAUUUUCAUCCGUGCAGGGGUGCACCAAGUUUGUCAUCAUGCUCGAUAACACUCUGGCCGUACACACUUUUCUAGAUCAUGCCCGACCUCGGAAUAUCGACACGCCGCAGAGAGGCCAACCCGCUGGUCUAAAUCCUAAGAGCGCAGGGGUCAUGUGACCAUCACCCUUUGCACUCCUGCACGAUGCGAGGGCGACCGAUGUCAGUCCUAGCACCCCUUAUUACAAGCGCGAUGCAUAUCGGGACCACUCGGGCGCACGCCGCUCCAUUGCUGACGUCUGAAGAGCUUCGACUGAUACCACGACGCCGAGUACCUAUAACUUUUCCCGCAUAGCCGGUUAGUGCGGAAAGGUCUUCGACCAACCCAGAUCAAAUACCCAAAUCCAUUAACAUUUUAAUUAACUCAUCGACACAUCCAUGCGGGAAUCCACCCGCCUAACAUUUAUUUAUCAAUGUUCCCAGUAACAUGGUCAAGUAACUGUGUGGUUGUAACAUCAGGGGGAUCCGAGGUAUCACCCUCGUUGGAUUCCGAACGAUGUAACCGUCAAGGUGGACUUAGAGGGAUCACCCUCGAGGGUCACACACUUGAGGGGUUGCACGAUAGAGUCAUCGUCGGGAAUGGUGAAGGAGGAAUCACCCUUGAUAACCACGACCGACUAGCUGCCCCUACACAGAUAUCAUCAUGAGUACUUCACGAGGUGUCACCCUCGGUACCCGAUAGUAGCUCUGCAGCAUCGUACAACUAAGGGGUGUGUAAGUGCUGUGUCGGGUCUUGGCUUGUCGAUCAGGGAUCGAGACUCGACAAUAAACAGGGCAACUGGACUAAGGGGUCAGAGGGGAUGACUGCUUCACCUAUACUAAACAAUUUAAAGGUGCGUACUGAAAGUAGCAGUUCAUCAAAAACAGGCUAUGUAUCAGAUAUAUGAGCUAACUACAACAAUAGUAAAAUACUAAUGCAAGCAUGAGGGAGAAAGAAUAGGCGAUAUAGGGAUGAUCAAGGGGGUUUGCUUGCCUUGCUGCUCUGCGGCAAAGGGCUGGUCGACAAGAGGGUAGUCGUACCUGACAACAGCGUCAGUCUCGGGGUCUACCGGUAAGAAGAGGGGGAAAGAAACAACAAAAUAUAACACCGAUGCAAACACUAAACAUGACAUGUCAAAGCAGGGUUAGGCAUGAGCUAACGAAGUGCUAUCCGUCAUAGAUGGGUCGGAAGAAUAUCUCACAAUAUUUCCCGGGUCUUUGACUACUACUUGUCAAACGAAACACGGUGGAAAUGUUCCACAUUUGAUAUGCUAGGGACGCGUGACAAAUGAAUGGACCGCGUGUCCGGAUUCGUCUCGUUCUGUUGAUCAACUUUCAUGUUCAAAUUAUUUUCAUCCGAGCUACAGAUUAUUUGAUAUUAAUUUUCAAAGAUUUAAUCAAUAUUCAGAAAUUAAAAGAGAUUAAAAUAAUUUAAUUAAAUGCAAUUAUGACAUCAGCAGUCAACAAGGUUUGACUGGUCAAACUGACCAAUGGACCCGUUGUCAUAGGCACAUUUAUUAUUAAGGUUAACUGAAUAUUAAUCCGAUUAAUUAAAAGGGGACGGGACCCACUUGUCAUACUAGCUUUAGGAUAAUUUAAUUAUCUAAUUAACAGAUUUACUUAAUUAUUCUAAUUACUCAUAAUCAUAUAUAAUUACCUAAUUAGUUAAUUAAUUACUUCAACUAUUUAUUUAUUUAUAUUAUAUGUUUUUUCAAACAUUUUACAUGGGUGGUCCCACGUGUAAGUGGCCCAUCGGCCACACCACACACACACCACACACACACUCUCUUGUAAACAAAAACACACACAUGCACCCAUAUGCACAUUUUUAUACUUACAUUCUCACAUAUUUAUAUGCAUAUACAUAUAUACAUACUGUUGGGGAAUGUUGCAUGAGAAACAAAAAAAUUUCUACGCACACCAAAACCUAUCAUGGUGAUGUUCAUCUACGAGAGGGAGAUUGGAUCCACAUACCCUUGUAGAUCGCUAAGCGGAAGCAUUAAUAAAUGCGGUUGAUGUAGUGGUACGUCUUCACGAUCCGUCUCACGAACCAUCCCACCAUCCGCCCCGAUCAAGUGCCGAACGGACGACACCUCCGCGUUCCACACACGUACAGCUCGAUGACGAUCUCCGCCUUCUUUAUCCAGCAAGAGGGGCGGGGAAGUAGAUGAGUUUUCUGGCAGCGUGAUGACGGGCCGGUGAUGGCGAUCAUCUAUUCCUGCAGGGCUCCGCCCGAGCUUCGCAGAAAACUGAUCUAGAGGAAGAAUUACGAACUAGAGGAGAGGGCAACACGUGGCAAAGUUGUGUCUCAAAAGCCCUAAACCUCUAGUAUAUAUAGGAGGAGGGGGGAGGCAGCCUUGGUGCGCCAAGGAAGGCCUCCUUGGAUCGGCCGAAGUGGGGAAGGGAGGAGUCCUCCUCCAAUCCCAUUUGGAUUAGGACUCCUUCCUUAUUUUCCCACCUCUUUUGGAUUUUCCACUUUUUCCUCAUGGGCUUUCCUUGGAUGACUUUGUCAGCCCAUUAUACCUUAUUGCACAUCCAAUAAAUCCACGUGGACCCCUUGGGGCAUGGUGGGCCCACCCAGUGGGCCCCCGGAACCCAUUCGUCACUCCCGGUACAGUGCGGGCAAUGCCCGAAAACCUUCCGGAAUCCAAACACCAACUUCCUAUAUAUCAAUCUUCAUUUCCGGACCAUUUCGGAACUCCUCGUGACGUCCAGGAUCUCAUCUCGGACUCCGAACAAAAAUUCGGUCACCAACACAUAUAACUCAACUAUUCCGAAACGUCACCGAACCUUAAGUGUGCAGACCUUGCGGGUUCGAGAACUAUGCAGACAUGACCUGAGACACUCUCUGGUCAAUAACCAACAACGGGACCUGGAUGUCCAUAUUGGUUUCUACAUAUUCUACGAACAUCUCUAUCGGUUGAACCUCUAUAUGAAGGAUUCAUAUAAUCCCGUAUACUAUUCCCUUUGUCCUUCGGUAUGUUACUUGCCCGAGAUUCGAUCGUCGGUAUCUCUAUACCUAGUUCAAUCUCGUUACCAGCAAGUCCCUUUACUCGUUCCAUAAUACAAGAUCCCGUAACUAACUCCUUAGUCACAUUGCUUGCAAGGCUUGUUGUGAUGUAUUACCGAGUGGGCCCCGAGAUAUCUCUCUGUCACACGGAGUGACAAAUCCCAGUCUUGAUCCAUGCCAACCCAACAGACACCUUUGGAGAUACCUGUAGAGCACCUUUAUAGUCACCCAAUAACGUUGCGACAUUUGAUACACACAAGGUAUUCCUCCGGUGUCCGGGAGUUGCAUGAUCUCGUGGUCAUAGGAACAGAUACAUUGACAUGCAAAAAACAGUAGCAAUAAACUGACACGGUCAUAUACUACGUUUAUAGUUUGGGUCUUGUCCAUCACAUCAUUCUCCCAAUGAUGUGAUCCCGUUAUCAAGUGACAACACUUGCCUAUGGCCAGGAAACCUUGACCAUCUUUGAUCAACGAACUAGUCAACUAGAGGCUCACUAGGGACAGUGUGUUGUCUAUGUAUCCACACAUGUAUUUGAGUUUCCAAUCAAUACAAUUCUAGAAUGGAUAAUAAACGAUUAUUAUGAACAAGGAAAUAUAAUAAUAACUAGUUUAUUAUUGCCUCUAGGGCAUAUUUCCAACAGUCUCCCACUUGCACUAGAGUCAAAAAUCUAGUUCACAUCACUAUGUGAUUGUAAUGGAUCUAACACCCAUACAGUACUGGUGUUCGAUCAUGUCUUGCUUGUGAGAGAGGUUUUAGUCAACGGCUCUCAACCUUUCAGAUCCGUGUGUGCUUUACAAAUCUUCAUGUCAUCUUAGAGAUGCUGCUACUACGUGCUAUUCGGAAAUAUUCCAAAUGUCUACUCUACUAUACGAAUCCGUUUUACUACUCAGAGUUAUUCGGAUUAGUGUCAAAGCUUGCAUCGACGUGACCCUUUACGACGAACUCUUUAACCACCUCCAUAAUCCAGAAAAAUUCCUUAGUCCAUUAGUUACUAAGGAUAACUUUGACCGCUGUUCAGUGAUUCAAUCCUGGAUCACUUUUUGUACCCCUUGACAGACUCAUGGCAAGGCACACAUCAGGUGCGGUACACAACAUGGCAUACUUUAGACCCUACGGCUAAGGCAUAGGGGACGACCUUCGUCCUUUCUCUUUCUUCUGCCGUGGUCGGGUUUUCAGUCUUACUCAAAUUCACACUUCACAACACAAUCAAGAACUCCUUCUUUGCUGAUUUAUUUUGAACUCCUUCAAAAACUUGUCAAGGCAUGAAUUUCAUUGAAAGUUCUAUUAAGCGUUUUGAUCUAUCUCUAUAUAUCUUGAUGCUCAAUGUUCGAGUAGCUCUAUUCAGGUUUUCCUUUAAAAACUCCUUCCAAACAACCCUUUAUGCUUUACAGAAAUUCUACAUUACUUCCGAUCAACAAUAUGUCAACCACAUAUACUUAUCAGAAAUUCUAUAGUGCUCCCACUCACUUCUUUGGAAAUACAAGUUUCUCAUGAACCUUGUAUAAACCCAAAAGCUUUGAUCAUCUCAUCAAAGUGUAUAUUCCAACUUCGAGAUGCUUGCACCAGUCCAUAGAAGGAUCGCUGGAGCUUGCAUACUUGUUAGCCUCCUUAGGAUUGACAAAACCUUCUGGUUAUAUCACAUACAACCUUUCCUCAAGGAAACCGUCGAGGAAACAAUGUUUUGACAUCCUAUGUGCAAUAUUUCAUAAAUAAUGCAACAACUGCUAACAUAAUUCCAACAGACUUUUAGUAUCGCUAUGAGUGAGAAAGUCUCAUCAUAGUCAACUCUUUGAACUUUUCGGAAACAUCUUUGCGAUAAGUCAAGCUUUUCUUAAUGGUGACUUUUCACCAUCAUCGUUUGUCUUCCUUUUAAAGAUCCAUCUUUACUUAAUAGUCUUACGACCAUCAAGUAGUUCUUCCAAAGUCUACACUUUGUUUUCAUACAUGAUCCUCUCUCGGAUUUCAUGGCCUCCAGCCAUUUGCCGGAAUCCGGGCCCACCAUCGCUUCUCCAUACCUUGUAGAUUCAUUGUUGUUCAAUAACAUGACCUCCAAGACAGGGUUACCGUACCACUCUGUAGUAGUACGCGACCUUGUCGACCUACGAGGUUUGUAGUAACUUGAUUCGAAGCUUAAUGUUGACCAUCAUCAGCUUCCACUUCAAUUGGUGCAGGCGUCACAGGAACAACUUAUCGCGCCCUGCUACACACUGGUUGAAGUGACGGUUCAAUAACCUCAUCAAGUUCCACCACCCUCCCAGUCAAUUCUUUCGAGAGAAACCUUUCCUCGAGAAAGGACCCGUUUCUAGAAACAAACACUUUGCUUCCGGAUCUGAGAUAGGAGAUGUACCCAACUGUUUUGGAUAUCCUAUGAAGAUGCAUUUAUCCGCUUUGGAUUUGAGCUUAUCAGACUGAAACUUUUUCAAAUAAGUGUCGUAGCCCCAAACUUUCAAGAAAUGACAACUCAGGUUUCUCCAAACCAUAGUUCAUACUGUGUCAUCUCAACGGAAAUACGCGGUGCCCUAUUUAAAGUGAAUGCAGUUGUCUCUAAUGCAUAACCCAUACACGAUAGUUGUAAUUCGAUAAGAGACAUCAUAGUAUGCACCAUAUCAAAUAGGGCGCGGCUAUAACGUUCAGACACACCAUCACACUAUGGUGUUCUAGGUGGCAUGAAUUGCAAAACAAUUUCCACAUUGUCUUAACUGUGUAACAAAACUCGCAACUCAGGUAUUCAUCUCUAUGAUCAUAUCGUAGAUAGUUUAUCCUCUUGUCACGAUGAUCUUCACUCUAAAAUAGAUUUGAACUUUUCAAUAUUUCAGACUUGUGAUUCAUAAAUACUCCUGUAUCUACCCAAAUUGUCAGUGAAGUAAGAACAUAACAAAAUCCACUGCAUGCCUCAGCACUCAUUGGACUGUACACAUAAAAAAUGUAUUACUUCCAAUAAGUUACUUUCUUGUUCCAUCUCACUGGAAAACGAGGCCUUCAGUCAUCUUGCCCAUGUGGUAUGAUUUUCAUGUCUCAAGUGAUUUAAAAUCAAGUGAGUCCAAACGAUCCAUCUGUAUGGAGUUUCUUCAUGCGUUAAUACCAAUAGGUGUGGUUUGCAUGUUUCAAAUGUUUCCAAAAUGAGUGAGUACAAAGAUCCAUCACUAUGGAGCUUCUUCAUGCAUUUUAUACCGACAUGACUCAAGCGGCAGUGCCACAAGUAAGUGGUACUAUCAUUACUACUUUGCAUCUUUUGGCAUCAAUAUUAUGAACAUGUGUAUCACUACGAUCGAGAUUCAAUAAACCAUUGAAGGUAAUUAUUCAAGCAAAUAGAAUAACCAUUAUUCUCUUUAAAUGAAUAAUCAUAUUGCAAUAAACACGAUCCAAUCAUGUUCAUGCUCAACACAAACACCAAAUAACAAUUAUUUAGGUUUAACACCAAUCCCGAUGGUAGAGGGAGCGUGCGAUGCUUGAUCACAUCAUCAUUAGAAUUACUUCCAACACACACCGUCACCUCACCCUUGCUAGUAUCCUUUUAAUUCGUAGCCAUAACUUAGAGUUGGUAACACUUAGCAACUGAACCGCUAUCUAAUACCCUGGUGCUAGUAGGAAUACUAGUAAGGUACACAUCAAUAUCAGGUAUAUCCAAUAUACUUUUAGCCGACUUUGCCAACCUUCUCAUCUACCAAGUAUCUAGGGUAGUUCCGCCUCAGUGACCGUUCCCCUCAUAACAAAAGCACUUAGUCUCGGGUUUGGAUUCAGCCCUGGGUUUCUUCAUUAGAGCAGCAACUAGUUUGCCGUUUCAUGAAGUAUCCCUUCUAGCCCUUGCCCUUCUUGAAACUAGUGGUUUUACUUACCAUCAACAAUUGACGCUCCUACUUGAUUUCUACGAUCGCAUUGUCAAACAUUGCGAAUCGCUCAAGGAUGAUCAUAUAUAUCCUUGAUAUGGUAUAGUUCACCACGAAGCUCUAGCAGCUUGGUGGCAGUGACUUUGGAGAACCAUCACUAUCUCAUCUGGAAGAUUAACUCCCACUUGAUUCAAGCGACUGUUGUACUCACACAAUCUGAGCACAUGCUAACCGGUUGAGCUUUUCUCCUUUACUUUGUAGACAAAGAAUCUUGUCGGAGAUCUCAUACCUCUCAACAAGGGAACGAGCAUGAAAUCCCAAUUUCAUUUCUUAGAACAUCUCUUAUGUUCCGUGACGUUCAAAAUGUCUCCGACGCCUUGCUUCUAAGCCGUUAAGUAUUACACACUGAACUAUCACGUAGUCAUAAAAAAUGUGUAUGUCGGAUGUUCGCAACAUCCACAGACGACACUCGAGGUGCAGCACACCGAGUGGUUUGCAACAUCACAUUAAGGACAUAAGCCUUCUAUGCAGCAAUGAGGACAAUCCUCAGUUUACAGACUUAGUCCGCAAAGUUGCUACUAUCAUGUUUCAACUAAAUUUUCUCUAGGAACAUAUAAAAACAAUAGAGCUACAGUGCAAGCUACAACAUAAUUCGCAAAGACCUUUUUGACUAUGUUCAUGAUAAUUGAGUUUAGUUAAUCAUAUUACUAAUAAAUCCCACUCAAAAUAUAUAUCCCUCUAGUCAUUUGAGUGGCGCAUGAUCCAAAUCCACUAACUCAAAUCCGAUCAUCACGUAAGUUGAGUAUAGUUUCAGUGGUGAACAUCUCCAUGUCGAUCAUAUCAACUAUAUGAUUCAUGCUCGACCUUUUGGUCUCUUGUGUUCCGAGGUCAUGUCUGUACAUGCUAGGCUCGUCAAGUUUAACCCAAGUGUUCCGCGUGUGCAACAAUUUUGUACCCGUUGUAUGUGAAUGUUGAGUCUAUCACACCCGAUCAUCACGUGGUGUCUCGAAACGACGAACUGUCGCAACGGUGCACAGUCAAGGAGAACACGAUUUUAUCUUGAAAUUUUAGUGAGGGAUCACCUUAUAAUGCUAACGUCGUUCUAUGCAAGAUAAGGUGCAUAAAAGGAUUAACAUCACAUGCAAGUCAUAAGUGACAUGAUAUGGCCAUGAUUUUGUGCUUCUUGAUCUCCAUCACCAAAGCACCGACAUGAUCUUCAUCGUCACCGACGCCACACCUUGAUCUCCAUCAUCGUGCCGCCAUCGAGGUUGUCAUGCUAUCUAUACUAUUACUACUAAAUCUACAACCUAGCAAUAUAGUAAACACAUCUGCAAACACAAACGUUAGUUUAAAGACAACCCUAUGGCUCCUACCGGUUGUCGUAGCAUCGACGUGCAAGUCGAUAUUUAACUAUUACAACACAAUCAUCUCAUACAUCCAAUAUAUCACAUCAUGUCUUUGGCCGUAUCACAUCACAAGCAUACCCUACAAAAACAAGUUAGACGUCCUCUAAUUUGUUGUUGCAUGUUUUACGUGACUCCUAUGGGUAUCUAGUAUGAUCGCAUCUUACUUACGCAAAAACCAUAAUGGAGAUGUGCGAAUUGCUAUUUAACCUCUCUACAAGGACCGCCUCGGUCAAAACCAAUUCAACUGAAGUUGAAGAAACAAACACCCGCCAGUCAUCUUUAUGCAACGAGUUGCAUGUUAGUCGAUGAAACCAGUCUCUCGUAAGCGUACGCGUAAUGUUGGUCUGGGCCGCUUUAAUCCAACAAUACCGUCGAAUCGAGAAAAUACUAAGAAGGGCAGAAAAUCGAACAUCAACGCCCACAAAAACUUUUGUGUUCUACUCGAGAUUACAUCUACGCAUGAACCUAGCUCUGAUACCGCUGUUGGGGAACGUUGCGUGGGAAACAAAAAAUUUCCUACGCACACGAAGACCUAUCAUGGUGAUGUUCAUCUACGAGAGGGAGAUUGGAUCAACAUACCCUUGUAGAUCGCUAAGUGGAAGCAUUAAUAAAUGCGGUUGAUGUAGUGGUAUGUCUUCACGAUUCGUCCCACGAACCGUCCCACGAUCUGUCCCGAUCAAGUGCCAAAUGGACGACACCUCCGCGUUCCACACACGUACUGCUCGAUGACGAUAUCUGCCUUCUUGAUCCAGCAAGAUUGGCGGGGAAGUAGAUGAGUUCUCCGGCAGCGUGUCAGUGCGCCGGUGAUGGUGAUGAUCUAUUGCUGCAGGGCUUCGCCCGAGCUCCGCAGAAAACCGAUCUAGAGGAAGAACUACGAACUAGAGGAGAGGGCAGCACGUGGCAAAGUUGUGUCUCAAAAGCCCAAAACCUCUAGUAUAUAUAGGAGGAUGGGGGAGGCAGACUUGGUGCGCCAAGGAAGGCCUCCUUGGGUCGGCGAAGUGGGGAAGGGAGGAGUCCUCCUCCAAUCUCACUUGGAUUAGGUCUCCUUCCUUAUUUUCCCACCUCUUUUGGAUUUUCCACUUUUUCCUCAUGGGCUUUCCUUGGAUGACUUUGUCAGCCCAUUAUACCUUAUUGCGUAUCCAAUAAACGCACGUGGACCCCUUGGGGGCAUGGUGGGCCCACCCAGUGGGCCCCCGGAACCCAUUCGUCACUCCCGGUACACUGCGGGCAAUGCCCGAAAACCUUCCGGAAUCCAAACACCAACUUCCUAUAUAUCAAUCUUCAUUUCGAGACCAUUCCAGAACUCCUCGUGAUGUCCAAGAUUUCAUCCAGGAGUCCGAACAAAACUUCGGUCACCAACACAUAUAACUCAACUAUACCAAAACGUCACCAAACCUUAAGUGUGCAGACCCUGCGGGUUCGAGAACUAUGCAGACAUGACCUGAGACACUCUCUGGUCAAUAACCAACAGCGGGACCUGGAUGUCCACAUUGGUUCCUACAUAUUCUACGAAGAUCUCUAUCGGUUGAACCUCUAUGUCAAGGAUUCAUAUAGCCAUGUAUACUGUUCCAUUUGUCCUUCGGUAUGUUACUUGCCCGAGAUUCGAUCGUCGGUAUCUCUAUACCUAGUUCAAUCUCGUUAGCAGCAAGUCUCUUUACUUGUUCCGUAACACAAGAUCCUAUAACUAACUCCUUAGUCACAUUGCUUGCAAGGCUUGUUGUGAUGUUGCAUUACCGAGUGAGCCCCAAGAUACCUCUCCGUCACACGGAGUGACAANAGGGCAUAUUUCCAACACAUACAUACAGACUUAUACAUAAAUACAUACAAUUUUGUUCUUUUUUCUUUGUUCUUUCCUCUCUCUCUUAACUUAGUGUAGGUAACUCCUCCUCCUCCUCCUNNNNNNNNNNNNNNNNNNNNNNNNNNNNNNNNNNNNNNNNNNNNNNNNNNNNNNNNNNNNNNNNNNNNNNNNNNNNNNNNNNNNNNNNNNNNNNNNNNNNNNNNNNNNNNNNNNNNNNNNNNNNNNNNNNNNNNNNNNNNNNNNNNNNCUCCUCCUCCUCCUCUUCGCAAGGAGGAGGGAAAUUGGCGUCGGGGCGAGGCGGAGGUCAUCGGAGAGGGAGAAGGAAGGAAGGGGUUGUUCUCACCCACGUGUAGAGGAAGACGCGGCUCGAUGAAGAUUUGGCGGAGGGAGGGGCGCCGACGUCGAGGUGGUGGAGAAGGAGGCCGACGGAUCCGGCGAGGAGAAGCCCGGGGCGGGGCAAGGCGGCGUCGGUGGCGCGGCCCCGGUGCGGCUCCGGCGCGGGGCCGCUCCGGUUGGGGGAGGGGAAUUCGGAGUGUAUCCGGUGCGGUGGGGAACAGAGAGGGCGACGAGUGAGAGAGUCGCGAUGCGUCCGGUGGGUGAUGUCGCGGCGGCGGGGCGGGCCGGCGCGGUGGUGAGGGAAGGGAGCAGGGCGAGCGGGUGAUGGAGAAGAUGCCGGUGCUGGUGGGUAGCACUGGUGAGGGCCGGCACAACAAGGAGUGGGGUGCUCGAGGGAGGAGGCGAGCGGGGCGUGCGCACGAGGGGCAGGGGGUUCUGCGCUGGGGAGAGACGAGGGGAGANNNNNNNNNNNNNNNNNNNNNNNNNNNNNNNNNNNNNNNNNNNNNNNNNNNNNNNNNNNNNNNNNNNNNNNNNNNNNNNNNNNNNNNNNNNNNNNNNNNNNNNNNNNNNNNNNNNNNNNNNNNNNNNNNNNNNNNNNNNNNNNNNNNNNNNNNNNNNNNNNNNNNNNNNNNNGGGGGGGGGGGGGGGGUCAUGCGAGGUAGUGAGGUGGGGUGAUGAGGGGAAUCAGGGGAGACCGAGGGAGAUCGAGCGGUUGGUGGGACGAGGGAGGAGGGAUCCCCUCGUGGGAAAGGUGGGUGCGGUGGGACGAGGGGGUGGCUGGCGGCGUGGGGUGGAGUGGGGAGAGGCAUCGGUUUGGGCUAGGAUUCUACGGGGUUUUAUACCCCCUCACCGAGGUGGGCUAGUGUGUGGCCGGCUGGGCCGGUUGGCCGAGUUGGGCUGGGGCUUUUUGUUUUGUUUUGUUUUUUAAUUUAUUACCAUUUCUAGUUUUAAUUUAUUUUAGUGCAAUAAAUACUUCUAAAAUUAACGAUUCCUAAAUGACAAUUCUCCUAGGUAAUAUUUGACACACUCUAACAUUUUUAUUUCUGCGUUCAAAAACUUUUAUCGUUUGACUGUAUUUUUAAUUUUGAAUUUGACUUGGUUUUGAACUAGCGCGAGAUUAACGAUAGUAAUCACGGUGACCUGGCAUCAUUAGCGUGGGAUCACUGUAGCUUAAUUCCAUACAACAUUGUAGCAAAAGCUGAGGAUGUCACAACUCUCCCCUACUAAUAAGAAUUCUCGUCCCGAGAAUUAAGAGGUAGAAGGAAAGAGCUCGGGGUAUUCGUCAUGAAUAAUGCGGACUUAAUCGUCAACAUGUUGGAUAAUAUCCGGACAAAAGAGUGACUAGUCCAUUGAACGUUGGCUCGGGAAUUUCAUACGAAGCCAAGUGCAAAGGAUACUUUGGAGUCAAAAGAUGUACAUGAGAGUCAGGUUUCGAUCCUGUGGAACUUUGGGUUAUGGGUCUACCAUGUGGGCCGAGAGUAGGCAGAAGGGUGACAUCUUGUACGGUAUUGGUAGCAAGACAUGUUAGAGGAUAACCUCUCAGUUAUGUUGGAAAUGACAUCGGCACUAAGGGCGGGGAACGAAUAGAACAAUUUUCCUGCUCGCUGAAACGAGGCGGACCAAUAGGAAAAGUUCUCGUCCACCGACAACCACCAGCAUGUUAUUGUGACAGCCCGAUCCCGACGUUCCAGAAGAUUCCCCUUCUAUUCCGUUUUCGUCGUGUGUCUAUUUUCUUUUGUCGCAUCAUCAUCGCAUCAUGCGCAUCAUCAACAUUGCAUCGGCGUUCCGUUGCCGCCAGUUUUCAAACUUACAUCCGUUGUUAGUUGCCGGUUCUCGUCGUUGUCUGUUCUGAGCCCGACCGCACUCGCACACGCCCACGACAUCGUUUAAAUCUUGUUUUAAAAAGUGUGCGUAAAACUUUCUCUGAUUGGGUUGUGAUUUGACGUGCGAUCUUAUUUUAAUAUAGCUAGGCCGCCUGUCGAAUUUCGUCGCGAUCGGAGUCCGUCUGGUACCCGAACGGUCGACCGUAGCGGUACCGUAUUCGGUCUACCGUCAGACGAUUGUCGGUGUUUUAAAAAUACGUUGUCGGGUGCCUAUUUUCCCUCUCAUCUCCGCCUAGCCCCUCUGCACAGUGCAUCGAGCCUGCGCGCAGCCCAUUCCGAAAAUCUCCCGGAACCCGUACCGGGCGGUCGUGACCGUUGGAUCCGGAUCAACCCCGUUUUACCGUAAAUCGUCAUCGGUUUGUCCAUUGCACUCCCGAACCUAAUUAUCUCGACCAUCUGAUCUAAAUCGGAGGGUCCAGAUGCCCCUAUACCUAACCCACUAGCUAAAUAGACUACCCUAGCUCAAUUAGACCGAAACCCUGAAAAUUCUCCCCCUGUCCCUUCAGUGCCGCCGCCGCACACCACCUGGUCUCCUUCCUCGUUUUCCUCCACUUCCCAAUCAGGCACCAGAUCCAUUCCCUAGUUUUCCCCUCGAGGCAGCGAGCAGCGAGUGCGAGCCCUGCAGACAGCCGUCGUGUCCUUCGGCGCGCCCCCGUGCCGACAGUCGCCCUCGGGAGCCUCGCCUCCUUCCCGCGAUCUGGAUCGGGAGUCCUGAUCGGCAGGCGUGACCGAGCCGCCCCGCGCCGAUCAGGUGGACCCGCUCCAGCCGCCAGUCGUGGCCUCGCCUCGGUGCGAUGGAAACGAGGCAGCGAGUGCCUCGGCGCCGAGCCCCCCUGUUGACCGCGCGCAGCCCGCCAGCGGUCGUGACGUCGCUCCGUCGGCCUCGCCGCACUGGGCCUCGCCCCGGCCCAGAGCGCCAACAGCCGGCCCAGGCUCCUCCGCCCCGAGGCCACCUCUCCUCCGCCUCGGCCCAAGCCGCAUCGCCCCCAACACCACUUCCUCCAGAUCCGGCUCGAAGGCCGUGUGGUGAGAUCCCCUUUUUCCCUCCCUCUAUUUCCCGCCUAGGCAUUUUUUCUAUUAUCAUGCGCCCCCUGUCCGGCCCGUUAAAUAUUUAGGUCAAUUUUCGGAAUUAUCUAAAUUCCAGAAAAAUAGACGAUUUUAGAACGUUCGUAACUUUUAACCGUAAGUCAGAUCGAGUCGUGUUGUAUAUGGUUUUCGUGUAGAAUUUCGCGUAGAAUCCGAGUUUAUAACUUGCAUAUUUUUUUGACGUUGUUUGACGUGUCGAAUGCAUAGAUUUACGUGCUGUUCCAAUCGGAUCCGUUCCGUAGUUAUUUCUCAUGUGUGUCCGGGUUGCUCGAAUGCCGUAGAUUAAAUGUCCAUGUUUUAGGAACCCUCUUGCCAUGUAUGUUAGAGCGGUCAUUGGUAUUUUGCAUGUAGGGUUUAGUCGCUAGUUUAUUUUUAGCGCUUAGGACAUUAUCUCGCAUUUACGUGUGGUGAAAUUAUUGUUGUGCAACCCCACAUGUUUUAUAUGUUUUCGGGGUAGAAAAAUCCUGGAUUUUUCUGUGUAAUUAGUUUUAGCUUUAGAGAAAGUUAGUUUGCGCGAUAUUUCGCCAUGUUGCUCACUAGUUUAUUUCGUAGGAUUUAUUUCGUACUUCGUUUGAAGGAGUUGUCAACUAGAGAGUUGCCCUUUGAUGUUUAGUCUAGCCCCUGAUAUUUUUGGUUGCAAAAGAAAUCCAUGUUUAGGUGCGGUUUGCUUGAUCUUUACUUGCUAGGAAAUAGUGAUGUUUUAGAGAUGCUGAAAUAUUUCUAAGUCUGAAUCUGUUAUAUUUUGUUGCUGUCUUGUCUUGCUUCUAUCUUGUGAUCUGUAGCUCUUUUGAGGUUGGUCCAAUGGAGUUAGUUGUAGACUUUGGAUUUCUCUAGCAUGCUGUGAAUUUUCAUGCCAUUUGGAGUCCUGUAGCUUAUGGUUUUGCUUCUUUCAAUAUGCCUUCAGAUCGAAAACUGCAGCUUCAUAAACUGCUAUUUUCACUAAGUCUGAAACUGUGUGUGAGAAGCCAUUUUGUGACUUCUUUUCCUAGUGAUCUAUGCUCCCAUGCUAGUUGUUGUUAGUUGUAUGUCGUAGUGCUUCUUUCCCUCUUUCGUGUCAUGCCUUGGUUGAGUUUAUUGGACAUGUGUAGCUGGUAGUUGUGGGGUGUAGAAAUGCUAUGUGGCUGAUUUUUGCAGAUUGUAGUGAUUUCUUGUUUUGCUCGUAGUUGUUGAACCGUAGCUCCGAUUUGAUCGUGUCCUAUAUGAAACUUGCUUAGAAUCUCGUGUAGUUUCAUUUUCUCUUGCUGGUUGUAUGAUUUAGGUGCUCGUGACAGUCGUUGCACACAUAUUGCAUUCAUGCAAUCAUAUCUUGCGUUGUCCGUAUCUUUUGAUCCGUAGCUCCGUUGGAGAGGUUCUCUAUGUGUAAAUUGCUUGUGAAGACGCGUAGAAUCACGUGAACCUAUUUGUUUUGCUGUUUAACAACUAAUUAAAGGUGUUAGUUCAGAUCUGGACAGAAUUGUAAAUUAACAUGUGAUGUCGUCUCGGAGAAGCUAUAUGUCAUUUCCGACCUCAUUUAAAAUGCCUAGAUAUUUAGAUUAAUGGCGCUUCACCUCUUGUCAUGUUUAAUCACAUUUUAUAUUGCCGAGUACCUAAUUGGGAUAAAACUAAAUAACCUCUAUGUGGAGUUUCCUCAAUAUGCAACUCGUUGCAUAUUGAACUUCACUUAAUGUGUAGUGUUUGAUUGUGUGAUUUGUCAUGCCGUGCCUUGCAUGCAUUCAGUUGCCGUGACAGCCCGAGACCGACGCCCCAGAAGAUUGCCCCUUCUUUCCGUUUGUUAGUUGUUAAAUAGUGUGUUAGUUGCCGGUUCUCGUCGUUAGUUGAGCCCGACUGCACACGCACGCGCCCGCGGCACCGUCGAAACCCUGUUUUAAAAAGUGUAUUGAAAACUUUCUCUGAUUCGGUUGAGAUUUGGCGUGCGGUCUUAUUUUGAUAUAGGUAGGCCGCCUGUCAAGUUUCGUCGCAAUCGAAGUCCGUGUGGUACCCGAACGGUCGACCGUAGCGGCACCGUAUUCGAUCUAUCGUCGGACGUCUAUCGGUGUUUUAAAAUACGUUGCCGGGUCGCCCGUCUUCCCUCUCAUCUUAGCCAACGUCACUCUACAUAGCUAACCCUAACCCGCCUCUCCGAUCGGACCGCACGAUCACGAUCGGAGGGUCGAAAAACCCCCACAUGCCCUCCAUCCUAGCCCCCUUCCUAUAAAAGAAGCCCUCCCUGCCAUUCUAGGCAAACCCAAGCGGUUGCCUCGAAUCCCGUGCCUAUCAACCGGAUCCAGCCGCCACCCCAGCGCCUGUGCCUCUCUCCUCCCCACCGACAAGGCCCGCCAGGCCCACGGCUGGCCCGCCGGGCCCGGAUCCGCGCCACCGCCUGGAGGCGAGCCUCCCUCCUCCCGAGGUUGCUGCAGUGUGCUGCGCCACCCCGCCGCCUGCUCUCUGCACCGCACCUUGUCCCGAGCCCCGAUGCCGGCAGCUGCUCGCCGUAGCACCUCCGCCGGCCGAAGUCGUCUCCCUCGGCCUUCCCAUUCAGUUCUGCCGCCGGCCGCACCAGCCGCCGCCCCUCGGCCUUCCCUUCCAGAUCCUGAAGUGUCCUUCACCGCCCCGACCUGGCCUUGCCAGAUCCAGCCGCCGGGAGCCCGUUCCCGCAUCGCCGUCUCCGCUCACGUGAGCGCAGCCGCCGCUGCCUACCAGCUCGAGCGAGGGGGGGGGGGACCAGACCGAUGCCCCGUGCCCUAGCUGCUGCUGGGCCGCGCAGGAACCUCCUAGUCGGCCCGACCGCCUCAGCCCUGCGCGCCCGGCGUGCAACCUCCUCGCCGCUUGGGAAUCCUCUUGCCUCGGCCCAGUUAGUUCUCCCUCCAGGCCGGCCCAGGUAUAGCCCCGCUGUCACGCCCAAGAUGCGACCCUAUCCUCAAUUUGGCACGAAAGCCUCGUCAGGGAUAGAAGCGCAUCUCGUCGUGUCGCAAGAAUGGAUAUCGUUACAAGUACAUGUACUGAAAAGAUGAGAUAUAUAUUUAGAAUUGGCUUACAAUCGCCACAAGCUACAUCGGAGUCACAACAGUACAGUACAUAUUCAUCAAGAGUAAGAGCAGGGUCCAACUACGGACGAAAACAAACGACAAAAGAAGAACGAGGUCCAUCCUUGCUAUCCCAGGCCGCCGGCCUGGAACCCAUCCUAGAUUGACGACGAAGAAGAAGAAGAAGAAGCAACUUCAAAUGAACAAUCAACGCGCUCGCGUCAAGUAACCUUUACCUGUACCUGCAACUGGUGUUGUAGUAAUCUAUGAGCCACAGGUGACUCAGCAAUCUCAUUUCCAAAGGUAUCAAGAUUAGCAAAGCUUAAUUGGUGAGGCAUGGUUAAGUGGUGAGGUUGCAGCAGCGGCCAAGCAUAUAUUUCGUGGCUAAACUUACGAGUACAAGAAUAAAGAGGGGGAUGCUCUACGCAUAACGGACGUGACUACUGAUGAUCAAAUGAAUGAUCCUGAACACCUACCUACGUCAGACAUAACCCCAACGUGUCCUUGCUCGGAGAAAGAACUCAUGAAAGAGACAGUCACGGUUACACACACAAUUGGCAUAUUUUAAUUAAGUUAACUUCAAGUUAUCUAGAACCAGUGUUAAACAAAGUUUCCACGUUGCCAUAUAACCGCGGGCACGGCUUUCCGAAAGAUUUAACCCCGCAGGGGUGCUCCAACUAGUCCAUCACAAAUUACCACAAGCCGCAUAGAAAUCCUCAAUCACGAAGCUCGCGAUCUCGUCGGAUUCCUUAGUGGAAAACCUCAACUCUGAGAUUACCCAAAGCAUCACGGGAAUCCCGAUGCACAAGAUAUUUCGUCUAAGGUAAAACUAAUCCAGCAAGGCCGCCCGACGUGUCGACGAACCCGAUAGGAGCCGCGUAUCUCGUUCUCAGGACACGACGGAUGGGUCACACUAGGAGAACCAAACCUCGGGUUGCCCCGCAGUGGCCCCGUAGUCUGCUAGUUUGGACCAACACUCAUGAGGAGCACUGGCCCGGGGGUUGAUUAAAUUUCCUCGGGUGCCGGCUGGUCCCUAUGCAUUAUUAUGUGAUUAGGCAAAUGUAGUACCAAAGUUGGGCCUUGCCAGACCAGUAUUAAUCUAAAACGAAUUAUCAAGGGGGUCCCCAUAAAAACCCCGAUCGUGUUAGGAGCGCUCAAUUAUGGAACAUAACACCGGUAGCCGAAAACUAAGGGGGCAAAGGUGGAACAAAACACCAGGCUAGAAAGGCCGAGCCUUCCACCUUUUACCAAGUAUAUAGGUGCAUUAAGUUAAAUAACAUUUAAUAUGGUGAUAUAACAAGGAACCCAUGUUAUCACAUGGAAGCAACUGCACCUGCAACUAGCAACGCUAACACAGGGUUAAGCAAGCAGUAACAUAGCCAAUCAGUGGUUUGCUAGGUUGAACAGGUUGAAGGUUUUCAUGGCAUUGUUGAGAGGCUGAUAUUUAACAUGUGGUAGGCAACGAGACAUAAUCGAUAGAAGCGAUAUAACUAGCAUGGCAAUGAUAGUAAUGGUAUCUGGGAAAAUGGUCAUCUUGCCUGAGAUCCCGCUUGGAAGAAGAAUGCCUUGAAGCAGUCGAACCGAUGUAGUCGAACGGGUCCUCACAAUCCGACACGCUUGCGAAACUCUAUCGAGACGGAGGAAACCGGAAACAAGCAUCAACACAGAUAUUCACCACACAAUGCACAACACAUAUGAUGCAUGAGCAGCUGAAUACAUGCAAGACACGGCAUGACAAUUCACACAAAGAGACACUACACAUUAAGUGAAGUUCAAUACGCAACGAGUUGCAUAUUGACGAAACUCCACGUUUAAUAUUUAGUUCAUUCCUGUUUAUUAACACGGCAAUAUUAAAAUGUUGUUAACAUGGCACGGGGUGAAGCACAAAUUAAUCUAUUGCUAGGCAUUUUAAAUGAGGUCGGAAACGUCAUAUAGCAUCUCCGAAAUGACCCCACGCGUUAAAUUCUAAUUCUGUCCAGAUUUGUCCUAAUCACAUUUUAUGUUUGUUAAACGGAGAAACAAAGUGGUUCAUGUGAUUCUACUCGUCGUUCUGCUCCAUUUACAUAUAUGGCACAUCUCCAACGGGGUUACGGUAUAAAAGAUACGGGCAACACAAAACAUAAUAAGGAUGCAACAUGCAUGCAAAACAAAAUACAUAGAUGAAUAUAAAAGAGAGGCCAUGGGAAUUUGAUCCUUCGACCUCCAAGAUUCAAACCAAAGUGCUAACCAACUAGGCUAGCUACUGGUAAUGACAAGUGUUCAGUGUCUCAUGGGCACACAAAAAAAAUAAUAGAUAAAACCCCCAGCAAAAACAGUGUGUAGUCUAGGAUUUGAACCUUAGACCUCAUACAUAAGCCCACACCUAGAUAACCAGCUAGUCUACAAUAGAAAGCUGUCAAUAGAUAAGUUUGGGCCAAUAUAAUCAAUCCAUACCAAACUUGUCACGCCCAAGAUGCGACCCUAUCCUCAAUUUGGCACGAAAGCCUCGUCAGGGAUAGAAGCGCAUCUCGUCGUGUCGCAAGAAUGGAUAUCGUUACAAGUACAUGUACUGAAAAUCUAACACCUGCGUGCUAAAAAAACAAAGAAAACAUAUUGGAGGCGCCAGGGAUUGAACCCAGGACCUCCUGGACAGGGAGUGGGAUAACAACCACUCGGAUACUUAUAUGCUUGUGAAUAAAUCUAGUGCCCAUGCUAUAUAACCUAUCCAAACCAAAACGGAUCUGGCCAAAAAAAUCUAAAUUCCCGUCACGAACGGGCUUGCUCACAGCAAGGGAAACAGAGGCCUUAGCCAUGGCGAUUCAGAGGUGGGCGAGGGAGGCCAUGAAGGAGGGCGGCAUUGGGUACCUGCUGGUCGGGAACGGCGGGGACAGGGUCCCAUGAUGGAGGCGCCUGGUCCAGCUCCGGUCAGCCAUGGAUGGGCAACCCCUGCACCUGUAGAUAGAAGGGAGAACGAGGCAUGAGGGAGAGAAGAGAGAACGGGAGGAGCAGGGGAAGAAGGAAAAACGGGGAAGAAGGAAGCAUGGCGUGACGGAUCUGGACAAGGGGUUCCAUUCCCGCCAACAAGGUGGCUUGCACGAUGCUGCAACUCCAGCUGUGGAGAAUCUCCAUGGGGUGGCUCGGCUGCUCCUGCAGGAGUUGCUGCUGCAAGACAUAGAGAGAGAUGAGACGAGGGAGAGAGAUGGGAGGAAGGAGAGCAUGGCAUGGGGAUCGGGGUCGAACCAGGUAGGUGCCGGCGGCGGCCUCGGGAUGCUCCGGCGGGGCGUGCUCCGGCAAGGGGCUAGGGCGGCGCGGCUGGAGGAGCUACUGGUUUCGGGCACGAGCUGCUGGGGCGAACGAAGGAGCUGGUGCGGGGCGCUGGUGGCUGUCUUGGAUCGAACGGGAGAGGAGAUGGGGAUCAGGCAGAGCUGCUGGGCUAGAGACAAAGAUUUGAUGUUGUGGUCACACAGUUGACGAGGUGAUGCCCAAAGCAUUGCAUGGUUACUAUUCAUUUAAAGGGGCCGAUAGACGGAAUGACCAGAAUGUUGGACAACAACCUCAGAGCAUGUACGGGAAUCAGUCAAAGGAUUAGCCUGCCGUGAACAAUAUCUUUCUACCAGAACCUCCGUCAGUCAAGUCAGCAUAAUAAACGGGUGGAAGUCAGAGUAACAUAUGAGGAUCCAGUGAAACAAACCUCCUCUAAGCCACGCAGUGAGUAAGAUAACCGAGCAGGAGCAUCAUACCAAGGCAAAAAGGAAACCCGAGUUGGAAACGGUUUCUUCAAGUGGGGAUAUUCAUGCUUGAAUCCUGAGCAACCAAAUCUCAAGGACGAGAUUUUUUAAGGGGGGUAGGUUUGUAACACCCUGGAUUUUUCCCAUUUCUUUUUCAUUUGAUUUUGGUCUGGAUUUGCUUUACUGUGGCUUGGUAGUUUUGGAACCUAAAGGGAUCACGCUUGAUUUCUCUUCCCUAGUGACUUGCCAACCUCCAAACCAUCCCAAGACCUUGUCAUCUCCAUCUUGGACUAAUCGCAAUAAUAUUUUCCCUGGGAAUAUUCAUUUUCUAUUUAAGGAAUAACCCUGUUGCCUCGGGUUGUGAAGCAACCAACAUUUCUAUCAUUCCAAAAAUUCCCAAAUAAUUCUUAUAAAUCUCUUGGGUUAUAUCUUCCUAAGAUAUGCGAAAUCCUUCCUUGCCAUGUUCCAAAAUAUUCCUCAAAUAUUCCUUUUCUGAUUCUGCCCUAGCUGUCAAGUUGUGAAGCAAGUACCAUUUUAUGUGCUUUCUUGCUCUCAAACUUUGUGGACACUCUUUCCUAUCCAUAAUCAUUGCCUCAUGCCAAAAUUCAACCUCAUUUGGCUAGUGAAUAUUUCUUGGAAAUUUUCCAAAGUUUCUGAUCCACACGAAGCUUUGGGAAACAAGUGCUAGCUAGGAGUAUGCAAAUGAGUUGCAAUUUUUCCAUGAUCUCUAUAUGCUCAAAUCAGGACUCUCCACAAAUUUGGGCAUCACCUCGUCAACUGUGUGACCACAGCAUCAAAUCUUUGUUUCUAGUCAUUAUUUUAGAUUGGGCUAGCGGGGGUAGGUGGGCCUUGGGCCGACUGGGCUAGGAUUAGGAUAGGCUUUGAUCCGGAUUUGCAUAAAAAACACUAUUACCAAGAUGGUCUAAUCGGACCUCCGAUCUAAAUCGAACGGUUGCGUAAAAAUAGACUAGGGGUCCUAUUGAAAAACAAAUGACGAUUUGCGGGAAAAGCGGGGUUGAUUCGGAUCCAACGUCACGACCGCCCGGUUCGAGUUCCAGGAGGUUUUCACGCUUGGUUGCGGCAAACUCAGAGCAUUGUGUAGAGGGGCUAGGUAGUGAUGAGAGGGAAAACGGGCGCCCGACAACUAUUUUAAAACACCGACAAACGUCCGACGAUAGACCGAAUACGGCGCCACUACGGUCGACCGUUCGGGUACCAGACGAGCUACGAUCGCGACGAAAUUCGACAGGCGGCCUGGCUAUAACUAAUCACGACCGCAUGCCAAGUUUCACCUCGAUCAGAGAAAGUUUUCAACACACUUUUAAAACAGGGUUUCGACGAUGCCCCGGGCGCGUGCGGGUGCGGUCGGGCUCAGAAUGGACAACGACGAGAACCGGCAACUAACGACGGAUGCAACUUUUGAAAACUGGCGGCAACGGGUUGCCGAUGCAAUGCUGAUGAUGCGCAUGAUGCGAUGAUGAUGCAACAAAUAAAAAUAACCACACGACGAAAACGGAAUAGAAGGGGAAUCUUCUGGGGCAUCGGGAUCGGGCUGUCACAACUCUCCUACACUAUAAGAGGAUCUCGCCCCGAGAUCCAAGAAUGAAAGGGGGAGAGGAUGAGAAAGAACAAGAGGUAAAAACUUAGUCGCUUCUUUGACAAACGAGUGAAACCAACGAUCUUUGAGGUUACAAAGAGAUGAGGAAUGACAUGAGAAACAAGCAAGAAUUCACGGAAAAUUUCGGCAGCACUUCGGUAGGAAAAAGGGACAAAAAAUUCGAUAAGAUGGGAGAAAUAGACAAUAUUCAUAACAAACAACUAAAUAGAACAAGGGAAUGCCAUGAUCUUCAUAGAACAACAUGAUAGACCCAAAACAGCAACAUCACAAAACCUCCGGAACAAUUGAAUAGGAACUAGCUCAUACGGAAGAGAGAAAUGAAGAAAAGAAUGACAACUACUAACUCCAACGAACUUGUCAAGCAUCCUUGCAAGAAGAAUUGAACGAAGUUGUUGGAAAAACAACAACGAAAAGAACACGAUAGUAGUGGGCUUAUGGGAACCUUACAAACUAAUGAAGUGACAACCAGCCACUAACAGAAACAAGGACUGAUUGGGAGAAACAAGAUAUGAACAAUUUCUUACACCAAGAGGAUACAUUGAGAACUUGGAUUAAUGACAAGCACCAUGAUAGCAACAAUCCAUAGGAAAAGCUUUCGGUGAAAUCCAAACCAAGAUAGCUCAAUGAAGAAAUCAUGGGUUGAAAAUAUCUCAUGAUCAUAGAAUUGGUGGAUUUAAUUAUCUCAUUCUUGAAAGGAAAUCUCUUCGAGGCUCCUACACUAACAAGAGUGCUAUAGUACCACCUCAAAUGAUAAGGAAGAACAAAUGCACUUGGAAAUGCAAGAGAAAGAACACUUGAGGUACUCCAACAGGAAUGUUGAAGAACACUUGAGAAUGAAUCACAUCCUUGAAGAACCACCAUGACGAACCUCCGUAUCAAAAGGAUGAUGCAAAGAUAAGAAGGAUGAAAGAAUAAGAUUGAAGCCUUGCAAAGACUUCGAUGAAGCUUCACGAAGAGAUACUUGAGAAAACUUGGAACUCCGGAAAAGAAAGAUAAGAACACUUGAGAAAAAGGAAUUGAUAUAAUGAGCCACUCCGGAAGAAGAAUUGAAAUCUCUUGGAAGAAGGAAGAACAAGAAUAAGAAUUAUGUUAUGCUCAUCCUUCAUCAAAUUAAAUUGAUGACAAGCAACGGAUUUAGCAUACAACUUAUUCUUCUUGAAAAGAUUGAGGAUAGAUAUGAGCACAAACUAGAAGAAGUCUUGAAGGAGACACCGAUGAGAAUUGAAAUAAUGAGGCAACCAUGAAUGGAUGGAGAUACAUGAGAAUGAAGAGAUCAUGAGCCACCUGAGAGAAAACUAGGACAAGGCACCAUAAUAAACGGGAGACGAACGAAGAGAUAACAAUGGAGAAGAAUUUGAGAAUGAAAGCUGCAAGCUGAGAAUGAAGAAGUCUUCUAAAAUGAUGGCCUUCGGAGGAUCGAGAAUGAAAACAACUCACAAAAGCACCGGAUAGCAAGAAAAGGGAUUACUCUUGAUUGGAACAAUUAAGAUGAUGGCAACAAGAUGAAAUGAUGAAUAUCCAAGAGAAUAGACCAAUAUUUGAGAGAAAACACUCCUUCACAUUGGAAGCUGAGAAUGAUGACGAGAAACAACACCACGAAUAACUGAGACACUUCGAAAUAAAGAAGAAUGCAAGGUUGAGCCAAAUAUGAGAAUUAAUUCCAAUAGGCCUUGGAGAAGGGAUAUGACUGAUGAAUUCAUACUUAUGUCAUAGUUGAAAAGAAUUAAAGAACUCCGGAAAGAUUACAGAGCUAUAUAAGAUCCUGGGAAAGACCUGUGGGGUAUGGGCCCACUCAAACAAAUCACCGUUGAAAAGAUUACUAGAACGGGAGAUAUUGCACUGGUACAAGAAAACUAGAUGAGGUUAGCACCUCGAAAUAACUGAAGGAUUGAAAAUAAGAACUUCUGAAAUAUCUUUAACACUCCGGAUAGAAAGAGAGAGGAAUUAAUAACAAGAUAGGCUGAAAGAAUUUCCAACGUCGGAAAGAAUUUAAUGGUUGAAAAGGAUAUGAUGACCGUGGAUAAUUGAACUGAAUUCACCGGUAAGGAUGACAAGAAUGAAUAAAGAUGAACAAUAAGCUCCUGAGAAUCUUCACAACGAAUGAUCGGGUAAGAGAGAAAAGAACACAUAGCGGAAGCACAAUGAAAAGAAAACUCUUGGAUGAAAAUUGAAUCACUGAAGAAAAGGGUGGGAGGGCGGGAAAAACAAAGACAACAUGGGACAGAUGAGAUGAACUCUGGAAUAAAAUGAGAGAAUGAUCUGCAACAACUCGAGAAGAUUGAAUUCAGUUGCAGAGAAGCACACCGGUAAAAUGGAAUUGAUACGACGACUUCGGUUGACAAGAAUUGAUAAGACAACUGAUUGAGCAAAAGAAUUUGCACUCUCAUAUGAAUAUGAGAACACUGCUUAGAAAAGAUCUGAAGUCACCGCUUGACAUCGAAUCAACUUGAAUUACCAUAAUCAACAAAACAAAGGGUAAGGCUUACAAUUAGCCAGAACAAACUCAUGAGAAAGAUUUCCUCCGAUAUUUUCGUGGACAGGAUCGCACGUGCUCGAUUUUACAGUAGCCAUCAAGUGCAAGGCAGUGCACCCGACAUAUGAAGCGUCCCCGAGUCGUAGCAAGCUACAAGGACUCUUUAAGACACAACGUGUACCGCUGUAAGUCGACCGUGAACAAACGAAUCCACUAGAUGGCGAACCCCAACCUAACAUCAUGCAUUUGUUGGAAGAUUGUCCUAUAAGCAACUACUUGAAUUCGCCCUANNNNNNNNNNNNNNNNNNNNNNNNNNNNNNNNNNNNNNNNNNNNNNNNNNNNNNNNNNNNNNNNNNNNNNNNNNNNNNNNNNNNNNNNNNNNNNNNNNNNAAGAAGGAAAAACGGGGAAGAAGGAAGCAUGGCGUGACGGAUCUGGACGAGGGGUUCCAUUCCAGCCAACAAGGUGGCUUGCACGAUGCUGCAACUCCAGCCGUGGAGAAUCUCCAUGGGGCGGCUCGGCUGCUCCUGCAGGAGCUGCUGCUGCAAGACAUAGAGAGAGAUGAGACGAGGGAGAGAGAUGGGAGGAAGGAGAGCAUGGCAUGGGGAUUGGGGUCGAACUAGGUAGGUGCCGGCGGCGGCCUCAGGAUGCUCCGGCGAGGCGUGCUCCGGCAAGGGGCUAGGGCGGCGCGGCUGGAGGAGCUACUGGUUUCGGGCACGAGCUGCUGGGGUGAACGAAGGAGCUGGUGCGGGGCGCUGGUGGCUAUCCUGGAUCGAACGGGAGAGGAGAUGGGGAUCGGGCAGAGCUGCUCGAUCGCUAGGGCUAGCGGGGGUAGGUGGGCCUUGGGCCGGCUGGGCUAGGAUUAGGAUAGGCUUUGAUCCGGAUUUGCAUAAAAAAACACUAUUACCAAGAUGGUCUAAUCGGCCCUCCGAUCUAAAUCGAACGGUUGCGUAAAAAUAGACUAGGGGUCCUAUUGAAAAACAAAUGAUGAGUUGCGGGAAAAGCGGGGUUGAUUCGGAUCCAACGUCUCGACCGCCCGGUUCAAGUUCCGGGAGGUUUUCAUGCUAGGUUGCGGCAAACUCGCAGCAUUGUGUAGAGGGGCUUGGUAGAGAUGAGAGGGAAAACGGGCGCCCGACAACUAUUUUAAAACACCGACAANNNNNNNNNNUGGCGCCACUACGGUCGACCGUUCGGGUACCAGACGGGCUACGAUCGCGACGAAAUUCGACACGCGGCCUGGCUAUAACUAAUCACGACCGCAUGCCAAGUUUCACUUCGAUCAGAGAAAGUUUUCAACACACUUCUAAACAGGGUUUUGACGAUGCCGCGGGCGCGUGCAGGUGCGGUCGGGCUCAGAACGGACAACGACGAGAACCGACAACUAACGACGGAUGCAACUUUUGAAAACUGGCGGCAACGGGUUGCCGAUGCAAUGCUGAUGAUGCGCAUGAUGCGAUGAUGAUGCAACAAAUAAAAAUAACCACACGACGAAAACGGAAUAGAAGGGGAAUCUUCUGGGGCAUCGGGAUCGGGCUGUCACAACUCUCCUACACUAUAAGAGGAUCUCGCCCCGAGAUCCAAGAAUGAAAGGGGGAGAGGAUGAGAAAGAACAAGAGGUAAAAACUUAGUCGCUUCUUUGACAAACGAGUGAAACCAACGAUCUUUGAGGUUACAAAGAGAUGAGGAAUGACAUGAGAAACAAGCAAGAAUUCACGGAAAAUUUCGGCAGCACUUCGGUAGGAAAAAGGGACAAAAAAUUCGAUAAGAUGGGAGAAAUAGACAAUAUUCAUAACAAACAACUAAAUAGAACAAGGGAAUGCCAUGAUCUUCAUAGAACAACAUGAUAGACCCAAAACAGCAACAUCACAAAACCUCCGGAACAAUUGAAUAGGAACUAGCUCAUACGGAAGAGAGAAAUGAAGAAAAGAAUGACAACUACUAACUCCAACGAACUUGUCAAGCAUCCUUGCAAGAAGAAUUGAACGAAGUUGUUGGAAAAACAACAACGAAAAGAACACGAUAGUAGUGGGCUUAUGGGAACCUUACAAACUAAUGAAGUGACAACCAGCCACUAACAGAAACAAGGACUGAUUGGGAGAAACAAGAUAUGAACAAUUUCUUACACCAAGAGGAUACAUUGAGAACUUGGAUUAAUGACAAGCACCAUGAUAGCAACAAUCCAUAGGAAAAGCUUUCGGUGAAAUCCAAACCAAGAUAGCUCAAUGAAGAAAUCAUGGGUUGAAAAUAUCUCAUGAUCAUAGAAUUGGUGGAUUUAAUUAUCUCAUUCUUGAAAGGAAAUCUCUUCGAGGCUCCUACACUAACAAGAGUGCUAUAGUACCACCUCAAAUGAUAAGGAAGAACAAAUGCACUUGGAAAUGCAAGAGAAAGAACACUUGAGGUACUCCAACAGGAAUGUUGAAGAACACUUGAGAAUGAAUCACAUCCUUGAAGAACCACCAUGACGAACCUCCGUAUCAAAAGGAUGAUGCAAAGAUAAGAAGGAUGAAAGAAUAAGAUUGAAGCCUUGCAAAGACUUCGAUGAAGCUUCACGAAGAGAUACUUGAGAAAACUUGGAACUCCGGAAAAGAAAGAUAAGAACACUUGAGAAAAAGGAAUUGAUAUAAUGAGCCACUCCGGAAGAAGAAUUGAAAUCUCUUGGAAGAAGGAAGAACAAGAAUAAGAAUUAUGUUAUGCUCAUCCUUCAUCAAAUUAAAUUGAUGACAAGCAACGGAUUUAGCAUACAACUUAUUCUUCUUGAAAAGAUUGAGGAUAGAUAUGAGCACAAACUAGAAGAAGUCUUGAAGGAGACACCGAUGAGAAUUGAAAUAAUGAGGCAACCAUGAAUGGAUGGAGAUACAUGAGAAUGAAGAGAUCAUGAGCCACCUGAGAGAAAACUAGGACAAGGCACCAUAAUAAACGGGAGACGAACGAAGAGAUAACAAUGGAGAAGAAUUUGAGAAUGAAAGCUGCAAGCUGAGAAUGAAGAAGUCUUCUAAAAUGAUGGCCUUCGGAGGAUCGAGAAUGAAAACAACUCACAAAAGCACCGGAUAGCAAGAAAAGGGAUUACUCUUGAUUGGAACAAUUAAGAUGAUGGCAACAAGAUGAAAUGAUGAAUAUCCAAGAGAAUAGACCAAUAUUUGAGAGAAAACACUCCUUCACAUUGGAAGCUGAGAAUGAUGACGAGAAACAACACCACGAAUAACUGAGACACUUCGAAAUAAAGAAGAAUGCAAGGUUGAGCCAAAUAUGAGAAUUAAUUCCAAUAGGCCUUGGAGAAGGGAUAUGACUGAUGAAUUCAUACUUAUGUCAUAGUUGAAAAGAAUUAAAGAACUCCGGAAAGAUUACAGAGCUAUAUAAGAUCCUGGGAAAGACCUGUGGGGUAUGGGCCCACUCAAACAAAUCACCGUUGAAAAGAUUACUAGAACGGGAGAUAUUGCACUGGUACAAGAAAACUAGAUGAGGUUAGCACCUCGAAAUAACUGAAGGAUUGAAAAUAAGAACUUCUGAAAUAUCUUUAACACUCCGGAUAGAAAGAGAGAGGAAUUAAUAACAAGAUAGGCUGAAAGAAUUUCCAACGUCGGAAAGAAUUUAAUGGUUGAAAAGGAUAUGAUGACCGUGGAUAAUUGAACUGAAUUCACCGGUAAGGAUGACAAGAAUGAAUAAAGAUGAACAAUAAGCUCCUGAGAAUCUUCACAACGAAUGAUCGGGUAAGAGAGAAAAGAACACAUAGCGGAAGCACAAUGAAAAGAAAACUCUUGGAUGAAAAUUGAAUCACUGAAGAAAAGGGUGGGAGGGCGGGAAAAACAAAGACAACAUGGGACAGAUGAGAUGAACUCUGGAAUAAAAUGAGAGAAUGAUCUGCAACAACUCGAGAAGAUUGAAUUCAGUUGCAGAGAAGCACACCGGUAAAAUGGAAUUGAUACGACGACUUCGGUUGACAAGAAUUGAUAAGACAACUGAUUGAGCAAAAGAAUUUGCACUCUCAUAUGAAUAUGAGAACACUGCUUAGAAAAGAUCUGAAGUCACCGCUUGACAUCGAAUCAACUUGAAUUACCAUAAUCAACAAAACAAAGGGUAAGGCUUACAAUUAGCCAGAACAAACUCAUGAGAAAGAUUUCCUCCGAUAUUUUCGUGGACAGGAUCGCACGUGCUCGAUUUUACAGUAGCCAUCAAGUGCAAGGCAGUGCACCCGACAUAUGAAGCGUCCCCGAGUCGUAGCAAGCUACAAGGACUCUUUAAGACACAACGUGUACCGCUGUAAGUCGACCGUGAACAAACGAAUCCACUAGAUGGCGAACCCCAACCUAACAUCAUGCAUUUGUUGGAAGAUUGUCCUAUAAGCAACUACUUGAAUUCCCACCUAUGAAUUCCCGAAAUAUCUGGUCAUGCAAUCUGGUACACGGAUACAAGGAGUAAUAAUCACACAACUCCUAUACUAACCCGUCACCUGUAUCACAUCCGUCAACACACGACCAUAAUCUCGGACCUUCAUCUACUACAGACCCUCGUGAUCACAACGAUACAAAGUAUGGCAGUACUCCCGAACAAUCUGCACCAGUACUGGGGACAUCGGGGUUAUCUCGCCACUAGUAGUAUUGAAGCAAUUACGAACAUCCUUCGUUCUGACAUAUUAAGAAAUCUGAAUGAUAACGAUGUGCUCAAGAAUCCCCUAGAGCUGAACUCCCGUGAAACUCAAAGCAGAUAGGAGGCACCAAGACAGAACUCCAUCACAUCGGCAUCAUAUAGAUCCCAAGAAUAUCCGCGCGAUCCUAAUUUUUUUUUUGAGUGAGAAGAGGAGUAGAAUUAAAAUAUUACGUCAAGAUUCCUCACCACAGCAUAGAAGAGGAGAAAAUAGAAUCCUACUCUCCGAUAUAUAACUAGACUCAAAGUAGUUUUUCACUAGACUCGACUCGGCCAAGUUCGAUCAAUCAAGGGGGCNNNNNNNNNNNNNNNNNNNNNNNNNNNNNNNNNNNNNNNNNNNNNNNNNNNNNNNNNNNNNNNNNNNNNNNNNNNNNNNNNNNNNNNNNNNNNNNNNNNNAGCGUUGGGUACCUGCUGGUCGGGAACGGCGGGGACAGGUCCCAGGAUGGAGGCGCCUGGUCCAGCUCCGGUCAGCCAUGGAUGGGCAACCCCUGCACCUGUAGAUAGAAGGUAGAACGAGGCGUGAGGGAGAGAAGAGAGAACGGGAGGAGCAGGGGAAGAAGGAAAAACGGGGAAGAAGGAAGCAUGGCGUGACGGAUCUGGACAAGGGGUUCCAUUCCCGCCAACAAGGUGGCUUGCACGAUGCUGCAACUCCAGCUGUGGAGAAUCUCCAUGGGGUGGCUCGGCUGCUCCUGCAGGAGUUGCUGCUGCAAGACAUAGAGAGAGAUGAGACGAGGGAGAGAGAUGGGANNNNNNNNNNCGGGGUCGAACCAGGUAGGUGCCGGCGGCGGCCUCGGGAUGCUCCGGCGGGGCGUGCUCCGGCAAGGGGCUAGGGCGGCGCGGCUGGAGGAGCUACUGGUUUCGGGCACGAGCUGCUGGGGCGAACGAAGGAGCUGGUGCGGGGCGCUGGUGGCUGUCUUGGAUCGAACGGGAGAGGAGAUGGGGAUCAGGCAGAGCUGCUGGGCUAGAGACAAAGAUUUGAUGUUGUGGUCACACAGUUGACGAGGUGAUGCCCAAAGCAUUGCAUGGUUACUAUUCAUUUAAAGGGGCCGAUAGACGGAAUGACCAGAAUGUUGGACAACAACCUCAGAGCAUGUACGGGAAUCAGUCAAAGGAUUAGCCUGCCGUGAACAAUAUCUUUCUACCAGAACCUCCGUCAGUCAAGUCAGCAUAAUAAACGGGUGGAAGUCAGAGUAACAUAUGAGGAUCCAGUGAAACAAACCUCCUCUAAGCCACGCAGUGAGUAAGAUAACCGAGCAGGAGCAUCAUACCAAGGCAAAAAGGAAACCCGAGUUGGAAACGGUUUCUUCAAGUGGGGAUAUUCAUGCUUGAAUCCUGAGCAACCAAAUCUCAAGGACGAGAUUUUUUAAGGGGGGUAGGUUUGUAACACCCUGGAUUUUUCCCAUUUCUUUUUCAUUUGAUUUUGGUCUGGAUUUGCUUUACUGUGGCUUGGUAGUUUUGGAACCUAAAGGGAUCACGCUUGAUUUCUCUUCCCUAGUGACUUGCCAACCUCCAAACCAUCCCAAGACCUUGUCAUCUCCAUCUUGGACUAAUCGCAAUAAUAUUUUCCCUGGGAAUAUUCAUUUUCUAUUUAAGGAAUAACCCUGUUGCCUCGGGUUGUGAAGCAACCAACAUUUCUAUCAUUCCAAAAAUUCCCAAAUAAUUCUUAUAAAUCUCUUGGGUUAUAUCUUCCUAAGAUAUGCGAAAUCCUUCCUUGCCAUGUUCCAAAAUAUUCCUCAAAUAUUCCUUUUCUGAUUCUGCCCUAGCUGUCAAGUUGUGAAGCAAGUACCAUUUUAUGUGCUUUCUUGCUCUCAAACUUUGUGGACACUCUUUCCUAUCCAUAAUCAUUGCCUCAUGCCAAAAUUCAACCUCAUUUGGCUAGUGAAUAUUUCUUGGAAAUUUUCCAAAGUUUCUGAUCCACACGAAGCUUUGGGAAACAAGUGCUAGCUAGGAGUAUGCAAAUGAGUUGCAAUUUUUCCAUGAUCUCUAUAUGCUCAAAUCAGGACUCUCCACAAAUUUGGGCAUCACCUCGUCAACUGUGUGACCACAGCAUCAAAUCUUUGUUUCUAGUCAUUAUUUUAGAUUGGGCUAGCGGGGGUAGGUGGGCCUUGGGCCGACUGGGCUAGGAUUAGGAUAGGCUUUGAUCCGGAUUUGCAUAAAAAACACUAUUACCAAGAUGGUCUAAUCGGACCUCCGAUCUAAAUCGAACGGUUGCGUAAAAAUAGACUAGGGGUCCUAUUGAAAAACAAAUGACGAUUUGCGGGAAAAGCGGGGUUGAUUCGGAUCCAACGUCACGACCGCCCGGUUCGAGUUCCAGGAGGUUUUCACGCUUGGUUGCGGCAAACUCAGAGCAUUGUGUAGAGGGGCUAGGUAGUGAUGAGAGGGAAAACGGGCGCCCGACAACUAUUUUAAAACACCGACAAACGUCCGACGAUAGACCGAAUACGGCGCCACUACGGUCGACCGUUCGGGUACCAGACGAGCUACGAUCGCGACGAAAUUCGACAGGCGGCCUGGCUAUAACUAAUCACGACCGCAUGCCAAGUUUCACCUCGAUCAGAGAAAGUUUUCAACACACUUUUAAAACAGGGUUUCGACGAUGCCCCGGGCGCGUGCGGGUGCGGUCGGGCUCAGAAUGGACAACGACGAGAACCGGCAACUAACGACGGAUGCAACUUUUGAAAACUGGCGGCAACGGGUUGCCNNNNNNNNNNNNNNNNNNNNNNNNNNNNNNNNNNNNNNNNNNNNNNNNNNNNNNNNNNNNNNNNNNNNNNNNNNNNNNNNNNNNNNNNNNNNNNNNNNNNUUUGCUCGAUUCGGAGUUCGUAUGCGAAAGUUAUGGUUGUUUCAGUGGCGAGCGAUAGUACCGCUGGACCUAACGGUAGUACCCCUAGAGUUGGCGGUAGUACCGCUGGCCCUGGCAGUAGUACCGCUAGCUGGCGGUAGUACCGCCCCUGGUCAGCGGUAGUACCGCUCCAGGAGCUUAGUACCGCCUGCCUAGCGGUUGUUCGUGGACGGACCUUUUUGCAAAGACUUUCUUGGCAGUGGUAGUGCCUUUGCACUACCAGGGGCCCAGCGGUAGUACCGCUGGAGUGCCAGCGGUAGUACCGCUAGCUGGCGGUAGUACCGCUGGAGUGCCAGCGGUAGUACCGCUGGAGCUCGGGCGGAGAGUGGGGGUAACGGUCUGAUUCCUUCCCCCACUAUAUAAAGGGGGUCUUCUUCCCCCUUGGUUUCAUCUAUCCAUUGAGCUCUUGUUCUACCUCCAUUGUUGACAUUCUCAACCCAAUGAGACAAAGUUUUACGAACACUUUUUAAAACAAGAUUUAAAAGAUGUCGCGGGCGCGUGCGAGUGCGGUCGGGCUCAGAACAGACAACGACGAGAACCGGCAACUAACAACGGCUGUAAGUUUGAAAACUGGCGGCAAAGGAACGCCGAUGCAAUGUUGAUGAUGCGCAUGAUGCGACAAAAGAAAAUAGACACACGACGAAAAUGGAAUAGAAGGGGAAUCUUCUGGAACGUCGGCAUCGGGUUGUCACAACUCUCCUACACUACAAGAGGAUCUCGCCCUGAGAUCCAAGAAUGAAAGGGGGAGAGGAUGAGAAAGAACACGAGGUAUAACUUAGUCGCUUCUUUGACAAACGAGUGAAACCAACGAUCCUUGAAGGUUGCAAAGAGAUGAGGAAUGAUAUGAGAAACAAGAAUUCACGGACAAUUUCGGCAGCACUUCAGUAGGAAAAUGGGACAAAAAAUUCGAAAAGAUGGGCGAAUUAGACAAGAUACAUAACAAACAACUAAAUAGAACAAGGGAACACCAUGAUCUUGAUAAACAACAUCUUUGACCCAAAAGAGCAACAUCACAAUGCCUCCGGAAGAAUAGAAUAUGAACUAGCUCAUACGGAAGAAGAGAAUUAAGAAAAGAAUGAAAACUAUAUCGCAAAUGAACUUGGCAAGCAUCUUUGCAAGAAGAAUUGAACGGAGUUGUAGGAAAUACAACAACGAAAAGAACAAGAUAGUAGUGGGCUUAUGGAAACCUUUCAAACUAAUGAAGUAACAACCAGCCACUAAGAGAAACAAGGAUUGAUUGGGAGAAAGAAGAUAUGGACAAUUUCUUACACCAAGAGGAUACAUUGAGAACUUGUAUUAAAGACAAGCACCAUGAUAGCAACAAUCCAUAGGAAAAGCUUGAGAUGAAAUCCAAAUCAAGAUAGCUCAAUGAAGAAAUCAUGGGUUGAAAAUAUCUCAUGACCAUAGAAUUGGUGGGUUUAAUUAUCUCACACUUGAAAGGAAAUCUCUUUGAAACUCCUAUACUAACAAUAAUGUUGUAAUACCACCUCAAAGGAUAAAGGAAGAAUAAUUGCACAUAGAAAUGCAAGAGAAAGGAUACUUGAGGUUCUCCAACAAGAAUCCUGAAGAACACUUUGAGAAUGAAUUGAUAUCAUGAGCCGCUCCGAAAGAAGAAUUCGGAUUACUAUGAACAAGAAUAAGAAUAAGAAUUAUGUUAUGCUUAUCCUUCAUCAAGUUUAAUUGAUGACAAGCAACGGAUUUAGCAUACCACUUAUUAUUUUUGAGAGAAUCUUGGAGAGACAAAGAGAUAAGCACCACUUGAAGUAUAAUUGAAGGAAGCACCGCCAAGAAUUCACAAUUGAAUGGGAACACCACGAAUUAAUGGAGAUACAUACGAAUGACGAGAACAUGAGCCACCUGAGAGAAACUAUAACAAGGCACCAAAUAAUCGACAGACGAACGAAGAGACAACAAAGGAGAAGAAUUAGAGAACGAAAGCUGAAAGCUGAGAACGAAGAAUCUUCUAAAAUGAUGGCCUUCGGAGGAUCGAGAAUGAAAACAACUCGGAAAAGCACUGGAUAGCAAGAAAGUGAUUACUCAUGAUUGGAACAAUUAAGAUGAUGGCACCAAGCUGAAAUGAUGAAUCUUCUAGAGAAUGGACCAAGAUUGAGAGAAACACUCCUUCGAAUCUUCAAUGGAGAAAAUGACGAAAAGAACCUCACCAAGAAUAACUGAGACACUCCGGAAUAACGAAGAAUGAAAGGUUGAGCCAAAGACGAGAAACAAUUCAAAUUGAUCUUGAAGAGGGAAUCUGACUGAUGAAAUUCAUACUUAUGUCAUAGUUGAAAAGAAUUAAAGAUCUCUGGAAAGAUUACGAGAGCUAUAAAAGAUCCUGGGAAGAACUUGUGGGUUAUGGGCCCACUAAAAGAAACCACCGUUGAAACAAUUACUAAAAAAGAAAGAUACUGCACCGGUAGAAAUGAAAACUUGAUGAGGUUGAGCACCUCAAAAUAAUUAAAGAAUUGAAAACAAGAAACUUCUGAGAUAACUUCAACGCUCCAGAUAGAAUAGAGAUAACUGAAUAAACAAGAUAUGUUGAUAAGAAUCUCCAACAUGGGAAAGGAUUUCAAGGAUGAAUAGGAUAUAAUGAACACGGACAACUAAACUAAAUUCACCGGAAAAGAUAAAAAGAUGGAAUAAAGAUGAACACGAAGCUCCUAAGAAUCUUCACAAUAAAUCAACGGAUAGGAAACAGAAUAUAAGAUAGCGGAAUCUAUAAAGAAAUGAAAUGCACUUGGAUGAAAUCCAAUCAUUGAAGAAAAGGGAGGGAGGGCGGGGAAAACAAGGACAACUUGGGCUUAAUGACAUGAACUCCGGAAUAAAAUGAGAGAAUGAUCUUGCAAAAUUGGAGAGGAUUGAAUUCACUUGGAGAGAACCACACCGGCUGAAAAGAAUUGACACAAAACAACUCCGGUUGACAACAAUUGAUAUGCCAAUUUGAAUGAACAAAAUAAUUUGCAUUCUCACAUAAAAAUAUGAGAACACCUCUUAGGAAAUAUCUGAAAUCACCACUUGACAUCGAAGCAACUUGAAUUACCAUAUUCCAACAAAACAAAGGGUGUGGCUUACGAAACAAGCCAGAACAAACUCAUGAGAAAGAUUUACGUUCGAUAUUUUCGUGGACAGGAUCACAGGGCUCGAACCUUACAGUAGCCAUCAAGUGCAAGGAAGUGCACCCGACAUACGAAGCGUCCCCGAGUCGUAGCAGGCUACAAGGACUCUUUAAGACAAAAGGACAACCGCUGUAAGACGACCGUCAACAAACAAAUCCACUGGAUGUCGAACCCCAACCUAACACCAUGCAUUUGUUGGAAGAUUGUCCUAUAAGUAACUACUUGAAUUCCCACCUAAGAAUUCCCAAAAUUUCUGGUCAUGCAAUCUGGUACACAGAUACAAGGAGUAAUAAUCACACAACUCCUGUACUAACCCAUCACCUGUAUCACAUCCGUCAACACAUAACCAGAAUUUCGAACCUUCAUCUACAACAGACCCUCGUGAUCACAACGAUACAAAGUAUGGCAGUACUCCCAAACAAUCUGCACCAGUACUAGGGACAUCGGGGUUAUCUCUCCACUACUAGUAUUGAAGCAAUUACGAACAUCCUUCGUUCUGAGAUACUAAGAAACCUGAAUGAUAACGAUGUGCUCGAGAAUCCCCUGGAGCUCAACUCCCCGAAAGAAAACAAGUCAGACAUGAGGCACCAAGACAGAACUCCGUCACAUCGGCAUCAUAUAGAUUCCAAAAACAUCCGUGUGAUCCUAAAAAAAAUUUGAGUCAGAAGAGGAGUAGAACAAAUUAUUACGUCAAGAUUCCUCACCAGAGCAUAGAAGAGGAGAAAAAAGAAUCCUACUCUCCGAUAUAUAACUAGACUCAAAGCAGUUUUUCACUAGACUCGACUCGGCCAAGUUCGAUCAAUCAAGGGGGCUCCUAGGUCGGUACUGCUCUGAUACCAACUUGUCACGCCCAAGAUGCGACCCUAUCCUCAAUUUGGCACGAGGGCCUCGUCAGGGAUAGAAGCGCAUCUUGUCGCUUCACAAGAAUGGAUAUCGUUACAAGUACAUGUACUAAAAAGAAGAGAUAUAUAUAUAUAGAAUUGGCUUACACUCGCCACAAGCUACAUCAGAGUCACAUCAGUACAAUACAUAAUCAUCAUGAAGAAGAGCAGGGUCCGACUAUGGACGAAAACAAACGAGAAUAGAAGAACGACGUCCAUCCUUGCUAUCCCAGGCUGUCGGCCUGGAACCCAUCCUAGAUCGAUGAAGAAGAAGAAGAAGAAGCAACUCCAAAUGAACAAUCAACACGCUCGCGUCAAGUAACCUUUACCUGUACCUGCAACUGGUGUUGUAGUAAUCUAUGAGCCACAGGGGACUCAGCAAUCACAUUUCUAAAGGUAUCAAGACUAGCAAAGCUUAAUGGGUGACGUAUGGUUAAGUGGUGAGGUUGCAGCAGCGGCUAAGCAUAUAUUUGGUGGCUAAACUUACGAGUACAAGAAUUAAAGAGGGGGAAGAUCUACGCAUAACGGAAGUGAACUACUGAUGAUCAAAUGAAUGAUCCUGAACACCUACCUACGUCAGACAUAACCCCGUCGUGUCCUCGAUCGGAGAAGGAACUCACGAAAGAGACAGUCACGGUUACGCACACAGUUGGCAUAUUUUAAUUAAGUUAACUUCAAGUUAUCUAGAACCAAUGUUAAACGAAGUUUCCACGUUGCCACAUAACCGCGGGCACGGCUUUCCAAAAAGAUUUAACCCUGCAGGGGUGCUCCAACUAGUCCAUCACAAAUUACCACAAGCUGCAUAGAAAUCGUCAAUCACGACACUCGCGAUCUCGUCGGACUCCUUAGUGGAAAACCUCAACUCUGAGAUUACCCAAAGCAUCACCCGAAUCCCAAUGGACAAGAUAUCUUGUCAAAGGUAAAACUAAUCCAGCAAGGCCGCCAGACAUGUCGACGAUCCCGAUAGGAGCCGCGUAUCUCGUUCUCAGGACACGGCGGAUAAGCGAAGCAUACGGUGGCCUAAUAAAUAUCACCCGAGUUUCCCCGGGUUGGCCCCGCACGAUGCUCUGUUUUGGACCAGCACCAUCAGCACUGGCCCUUCCUGUAUUAUGUAGAAUUACUCCUCGGGUAGCGCUAACUCCCUAAGCAUUUCAGUAUUAACACAAUUAUUAUGUUGGGCAAAUGUAGUACUUAUGUUGGGCCUUGCCAGACCAGCUUUAAUCUAAAACGAAUUAUCAAGGGGGUCCCCAUAACAACCCCGAUCGUGUUAGGAGCGCUCAAUUAUGGAACAUAACACCGGUAGCCGAAAGUAAGGGGGCAAAGGUGGAACAAAACACCAGGCUAGAAAGGCCGAACCUUCCACCUUUUACCAAGUAUAUAGGAGCAUUAAAUUAAAUAGCAUUUAAUAGGGUGAUAUAACAAGGAAUCCAUGUUAUCAGAUGAAAGAAAUGCACCUGCAACUAGCAACGCUAACACAGGGUUAAGCAAGCGGUAACAUAGCCAAACAGUGGUUUGCUAGGUUGAACAGGUUGAAGGGUUUCAUGGCAAUGUUCAGGGGCUGAUAUUUAACAUGUGGUAGGCAACGAGACAUAAUCGAUAGAAGCGAUAAAACUAGCAUGGCAAGGAUAGUAAUGGUAUCUAGGGAAAUGGUCAUCUUGCCUGAGAUCCCGCUUGGAAGAAGAAUGACUCCGUGAAGCAGACAAACCGAAGUAGUCAAACGGGUCCUCACUUUCCGACACGCUUGCGGAACUCUAUCGAGAUGGAGGAAACCGGAAGCAAGAAUCAACAAACGAGAUUCACCACACGAAGCACAACACAUAUGAUGCAUGAGAAACUAUCACGCCCAAGAUGCGACCCUAUCCUCAAUUUGGCACGAAGGCCUCGUCAGGGAUAGAAGCGCAUCUCGUCGUGUCGCAAGAAUGGAUAUCGUUACAAGUACAUGUACUGAAAAGAAGAGAUAUAUAUAUAUAGAAUUGGCUUACACUCGCCACAAGCUACAUCAGAGUCACAGCAGUACAUUACAUAUUCAUCAAGAGUAAGAGCAGGGUCCGACUAUGAACGAAAACAAACGACAAAAGAAGAACGACGUCCAUCCUUGCUAUCCCAGGCUGCCGGCCUGGAACCCAUCCUAGAUCGAUGAAGAAGAAGAAGAAGAAGAAGAAGCAACUCCAAAUGUACAGUCAACGCGCUCGCGUCAAGUAACCUUUACCUGUACCUGCAACUGGUGUUGUAGUAAUCUAUGAGCCACAGGGGACUCAGCAAUCUCAUUUCCAAAGGUAUCAAGACUAGCAAAGCUUAAUAGGUGAGGCAUGGUUAAGUGGUGAGGUUGCAGCAGCGGCUAAGCAUAUAUUUGGUGGCUAAACUUACGAGUACAAGAAAUAAGAGGGGGAUGAAUUACGCAUAACGGACGUGAACUACUGAUGAUCAAAUGAAUGAUCCUGAACACCUACUCACAAUCCGACACGCUUGCGAAACUCUAUCGAGACGAAGCAAACCGGAAACAAGAAUCAACACACGAUAUACACCACACGAUGCACAACACAAAUGAUGCAUGAGCAGCUGAAUACAUGCAAGUCACGGCAUGACAAUUCACACAAACAAACACUAACGAGUUGCAUAUUGACGAAACUCCACGUUUAUUUAUUUAGUUCUAUCCCGAUUAGGUACACGGCAAUAUUAAAUGUUGCUAAACAUGCAAGAGGUGAAGCGCAAUUAAUCUACCAAUCUAGGCAUUUUAAAUGAGGUCGGAAAUGACAUAUAGCACCUCCGAGACGACCUCAUAUGUUAAUUUACAAUUCUGUUCAGAUCUGAACUAACACAUUUAAUUAGUUUUUAAACAGCAAAACAAAUAGGUUCACGUGAUUCUACGCGUUGUUACAAGCAAUUUACACAAAGAGAACAUCUCCAACGGAGCUACGGUUCAAAAGUUACAAGCACCGCAAGAUAUGAUGGCAUGAAUGCAAUAUGUGUGCAACGACGGCUACGAGCACUUCAAAACAUACGACCAGCAAGAGAAAAUGAAACUACACGAGAUUCUAAGCAAGUUUCAUAUAGGACACGAUCAAAACGGAGCUACGGAUCAAAAACUACGAGCUAAACAAGAAAUCACUACAAUCUGCCAAAAUCAGCCACAUAGCAUUUUCUACGCCCCACAACUACGAGCUACACAACUCCAAUCUACUCAACCAAGGCAUGACACGAAAGAGGGUUAAGAAGCACUACAACAAACAACUAACAACAACUAGCAUGGCAUCAUGUAUCACUAGGGAAAGAAGUCACAAAAUGGCUUCUCACACACAGAUUCAGACUUAGUGAAAAUUACACUUCAUGAAAGUGUAGUUUUCGAUCUGAAGACAUAUUGACAGCAGCAAAACCAAUAGCUACAGGACUCCAAAUGGCAUGAACAUUCACAGCAUGCUAGAGAAUCACAAGGUCUACAACUAACUCCAUUGCACCAACCUCAAAAGAGCUACAAAUCACAAGAUAGAAGCAAGACAAGACAGCAACAAAAUAUAACAGAUUCCAGACUUAGAAAUAUUUCAGCACCUCCAAAUCAGCACUAUUUCUAGCAACUUGAGAGCAAGCAAACCACACCUAAACAUGCAUUUCUAUUGCAACCAAAAAUACCAGGGGCUAGAGUAAACAUCAAAGAACAACUCCCUAGUUGACAACUUAAUCAAACGAAGCACGGAAUAAAUCCUACGAAAUAAACAAGAGGGCAACACGGCAAAAUAUCGCGCGAACUAACUUGCUCAAAAGCUAAAACUAAAUACACAGAAAAAUCCUAUGGAUUUUUCUACCCGGAAAACAUAUAAAACAUGUGGGGUUGCAACACGAAAAUAUUGCCACACGUAAAUGCGAGAUAAAAACCUAGACACGAAAAAAUAGACUAGUGGCAAUCCCUACACGCAAAAAUACCAAUGACUACUCUAAACUACAUGGAAAAGAGGUUCCUAAAACAUGGACAUUUCUACUAGGGCAUACGAGCAAUCCGGACACGCACGAGAAAUUAUUACGGGACCAAACCUAUAGAAACAGCAUGUUAAUCUAUGCAUAUGGCGGCUCAAACUACAUCAAACA